UUUUUUUUUUUUUUUUUUUUUUUUUGGUUUUGGGAAGGAGGAACGAAGGGGUGCUCUUGUUAUUUGCUGGGGUUUGUUACCUGGGGAAAAGAAAGGAAUGAUGAUGAGUUGAUGCUUCGGGUGGAAAACGGACAGGUAAAUGUGUGUGGCUUUUCGUUUUGGAGAGAGAGAGAGAGAGAGAGAGAGACUGUUAUGAGGACAUUGAGGAGCACUGGAGUGUGGUACCGGUAGCCGGUAGGGGCGUGUGGUGUGGUGCGUGUGUGUGUGACUGCGUGAGAGUGGAUUCCUUGGGGAUGGGAGUGGAGACUGACGAUGAGUCCGUAUGCCUGGGAAGACGAACAGAGACGUGGCCGGAUAGGGGAAAAAUUUUAGUUGGACUUGGAGCGGAUUCAUCAUUCAAUUCUCAACUGAUUCAUUUCAUCUUACACUUUUCAACUAUCUGAGACACUUUUGUCCUCAAAUUGUAAAAUUUAUCUCACUUUGAGAUACAUUUUAGGGCUAAGUACAAAGUAUAUUUUAGGGACUGAAUUGGAAGAAAUUUUAUACAUUAGAGACUCAAUGACCAAGUUUUAUACUUUAAAAAUUGAAGUAUAACGAAUUUUAUAAUUUAGAAACUGAAGCGUCUUAUUUUGAAAUUUAAGAAUCAGAGUGAAAAUUCAAAUUUAAUUAAAGGGUACAAAGUGGAAUUAACACAUUCUCGAUCAUGGGGUGAAAAUUAAAUCAUGUAAGUUAACAUUUUAUUUAUAAAGUGAUGUUUUAGAAUUUCGACGGUCAGUGUGGAAUUCAAUUAAAUCAAGCGACUUUCAAUUUGUGCUAAAAAAGAUUGAUUGGUUCAUUCUUUUUUUUUUUUUUUGUCAAAAGAUUGAUUGAUUUGUUUGCUGUGCAAGAUUGUGAGAUGCAAACUACGAGGAUGUUCAUUAUUAUUUUUUUGUGGGAAGGAUUCAUUGUGGUAUUUUCCUAGCAAAUUCUCUAAUACUACAAUUUAAUGAUUUAUCAGCCCACAAAUAAAAAGUUUCAAUUGAUAUGACUGGUGUUUAAUCCUCUUUAAAAAGAAAUUACAACUAAUAGACCGAAUUUACCACAUUUAUAAUUUCGACCGAGUGAUGACAGGAUCGUACGUUCGCAGUUGGGGCUUCUCAAAUAAAAAACAACAAAAACAGGACUCCGGCCCCCAGCCAGGAAAGCGUAGGCUCGUAGCUGGGGCAUUUGGUAAGUGGCAACGUGUGCUAAAUUAGUGUGCAUAUUAGCCUUACUUUCACGAGGAGGCGCGUGGACUGUACGUGAUGAGUUUGUAAUUUGAAAGGUGGUAAAAUAUCUCCCUACUUCCACUUUUCCAUCUUUUGUCUGUUUUUACUACUGUAAAUUAAAGCAUGUCUGCAGGCAUCUGAUUCCUUCAUAUAUAGGUUUGCUCAUUCAUGGCCUUGCAUUUGGUGACGUCUGUUGGUCGGGUCCUUUCGAAGACAGAAUUGCUUUUUGGUUUGGUGUUUAAGAGGAAACUUCAUAGCAAAGAGGUUGAAAGCUAAGGAAGAAUUCUUGUUCCAUGCAAUGCAUGGUAGGAAUGUGGCACCUAAUUCUCUGUAUUUUGGGUGGCUGUAACUAAGCAACUAAAAGGUAUCUCCUGCCUCAUCAUGUGGGUCCAUUACCAUAUAAAAGGGCUAAAAGUAAUUUAUUUUGGUUCAUUGUAAGAUGAAUAACAGUAGUGUCAAAUUAUUAUACCUACGUCGUUUCCGUAAUCACAUUCUCCUAUUAUCUUUUUCCCUCACACACAUCAAAUCGCUAAAGUAAUUUUUUCAUAAAAAAUUAUGAAAAAUACAAUCCAAACACAAUUUCAGAAUAAUCUAUGCCGUAGUGCUGUUUGUAGAACACAUGUCACGAGUAUAUACUUGUUAUAUGUAAAUCCCAAUUAAACUCAACUAAGUUCUAAGCCUUACGUAUAGGUGCUGAACAUUAAUUCAUUAAUUUAUUUGAGUCCCUUGUGCUAAGUCAAAAAGAGAUCAAACUUGAAUUUUGAUCCACUUAAUUUAUUAUUAUUAUUUACAAAUAAUCGGCUUUGUUUGGAUUGGGCUUUAUUUCUCAAAAUUUAUUUGCUUACAUCAUCAUUACAAUUUCCAAUACACCUUUUUACCUUUCCAAUUACCUUUUUUAUCUCACAUAUAUCACAUCACAAAAAAUGCUACAGUAAAAAUAUCUCUAAUAAUUCACAAUCCAAACAGACCUGAUAUUUUGCUCUCCAUUUUUAUUAUACAAGAAAAUUUUAAAUAAAAUUAACUGUGAUCAUCAUCACAAAUCAAAUCAAUGUAUGUCCUAAAAAUCUUGGAUCGCCUGCAUGAAUUUAGAAAAAAAAAAGAAAAAAGUGAUCCGCGCUGCCACUGCCGGUCGAGGCGACAUAAGUUGGCACACGCAUCCUGCUCUCGUUUCUCAGUUUCCGGUGAACGAGUCUCCGGAGGCGCAUCUUGUGAAGCUUCUGAGGAAUCACGCUCGCUAGUGGUAGGUCCCUAAAGCGCGUGAAAUGGCAGAGAAUUUUGGGGACCUCAGCGCUUUCUUUCUUGUUUCUAGUAUAACAGUAAAAGAAGAUCGCAAAAAAAGCUGACAUUUUGAUUUCCUACAGCAGAAAAAGUUAACAAAACAACUGUACAAGGUUUGUUAUAAUUAUAAAAUUGUACGUAGUCAUUGCUAAGUAACCCUGGUGGUUUUAUAUCACAACGACUUACUGCUAAUAAUUGGAAUCAACUACAAGCGAAAAUGGAAUUUGUUUUCACCUGUUUAAAUUGUUAUUUUUUGAAAUUUUUAUAAAAAUAUUAUACAUACAUAUAUAAUUUGAUGCACGUAAAAUAAAAAAAUUAUUAACAAAUGCAUUUAAGAAAAAUGUAAAAGUUUUUCAAUAAAUAGAAAAUUGCAAUCUAAACACCGCCACCUUGGUAAGAAGAUUAUCCAUUUCAUUCUUUGGAGUUUGGAGGGAGGGGAGAGGAAUAUCAUGGUCAUGGAACUGGUUGAAUCCCUCGCCUAAGAGUAAGACCAAGCAUGCAAAUAAAAUCAACAAGUCUCGGUCAUAUGAAAUUAUUUGGGUAUACAUGCAUUUAAUUUCGGCUAGCCUCGCAUAUGGAGUGAUGAAAAAUUGCUCCGUUAGAGAAAAUACCUGUGCAGUAAUUCAUCUUUGAUUUCAUUGUCCGACUCGUACUGGGAAAGAGCAAAGCCCAAGCUGAAGAUUACAGUGGAGAUCUAGAAUUUAUGUAAGCCCUCUUUUGCUGGCUGUUCAUUUAACUUACUUGUACCGAGGCCCUUGUCUUAACAUUUUGUCAGGAAGCCAGUGAACGCUACUCUCCUCUCCUCCUCGAGUCUUUUUUUCAACCAUCUAAACCCAAAGCGGCAUCCUGCUUUUUGCAGCUGUUUGCUAAUUGCUUAAUUAAUUGUACGGAAGUACUUCUUCAUUUUGUCACGGAGCCGUAACGCGCUUCUCUUCCUCCUCGAGCCUUUUCAGCCAGCUAAAACCAAGGUCGCAUCCUCCUUUUGCAGCUAUUUCAAAUUGAUCUCUCGCCAUCUCAAGUGGAUUAAGCUCGCUCCUUUCCCCCUUAUUUCUUUGUAUUCUGGUCAGGGAUCUCCUUUUUGUACUAAAUCUUUUUAGCGAUUCUGGAACUUCCGCACCUGAAAAAUGACAUCAAUUUCAUGCUUAAGGUAAUUAAAUUAAAGUUUAGUAACAAUAAAUGCGCUUCAUCAGAAUGAGUCAACAGAGCAGGGAAAGAAAACUUCCCAGCUGAAUCCCAUGUUACAUUUGUUACUCAAAUGUUUGCGACAAAUAACCUCCUGAACCAUGUAGAUUAGAUUAUAGAAAUGUUAUCGUUGCUUUAUAAAAAAAAAAAAAAAAAACCUCCGGAACCGUGUCAAUCUCUUAAAGGCAAAUAACCAAACAGUUUCUUUCUCAACCAAAUUAUGUACAUCACAAUAUUUUCCACCAAUAUAGUAAAUCAAAGCACAAGGCUGAAAAAGAACAAGGGCAUCUUGCCUCUAAGAAGCAGGGACCCAUACGCUAUGGCGGCUCCAGCAUGACCCUGCAGAAAAGUUGACAGCACAGUGGAGAAAGUUCAGCAUAAUUUCUGAUAAGGAUAAUUCCCACAGGUGAAAAGUUAGUCAAAGUUUCUUAUUGACCCUUUAAUCACUAAUUAACAGUCUAAGAUCUCAUAUAGGAUACCAUGAUGCCUGUUUGCACUAUGCAACAGACAAAACAAAAUAUUUGCUUUGUGCUUACAAAAUACACACACAUGUAUGUUUUUGCUUUGCCAGAUCACUUUGCAAGAAAUUGGCGGAAGAAUGGUACUUCAAUUUUUUUUUUUUUUUUCAAAGCAUCAUGACUAAGUAAUUACAAGUUGCACUACAAGAAGCAGAUAGAUGAAAGUUAUUACCCUCUCAGAAGCCCUAUGGAAACACCAUAUAGCAGAUGCAACAUCUUUCUUCACACAAUCUCCAGUCAAAUAGACAGCACCUAAGAGGUAAAGAGCACCUGGAUGCAACUAGAUAUGUAGACAGCUUUGAUAAGCAUAUUUGGCAGACUGUAACUAGGCUAUGGUAUAAGAAUAAUAUCUAGCACAACAUACCUGGUCGACUGCCUUCUCUAAAUAGUAGAAAGCCUGUUGAUCUGAUUGAACAUAGUCAUUCUGUGAAAAUCAGUUCAGUCAGCAACGCAAUUACACACAUAUCAGCCAAAAUAUUUUUGGGUUUCAACUAGUGCUUGUCAAUCAAAUACACCAUUUCUUGAACUAAAAUGCUAACAUGCACAAUUCUAUGCACAUGAAAGCUAACCUCAACUCUGAGUCGGCAACCUAAUUCAUAUUGCGCAUCUUUAUCACCCAUGUCAGCAGCUUCCACUAACAAAGCAGCUCCUCUGUUGUGAUUGAAGAAAAACAGUAAGACAUGUCCAUGAAGAUGAAAUAGCAGAAAUAUAAGAGAAAUGAAUAUGGUUUCACAUGAAUAGCACAACUCCGUGGAAAUUCAAUGGACAAAACAUGUAGUCGAUCAUUUUUUGUCUUUAGAAUUGGAAAUCAAUUCUAAAUGUCCAAAUGAAGAUAAAUUGUGGAAUUUAUUCGAUAAAUUUCAAAGCAAAGAAUUCUAGUUCAAUGAAAAACAUAUGGCAAAGAAAUACAUAACUAAUCAUAUAACAUACUUAUUAUACACACUCUCUCCAUUUCCAAAUGGAUCGUUUAAGAGGGAAAGUACAACAUCCUAUCACAAAACGGGUGUGCAAAUGCAUCUUGGACUAUAAUAACUGGUCAACAUCACACUAAUCAUUACAAUUGUUUGGAAAAAACAAAACAACAGAAUUACAAUUGGACUUUUUUAAGACAAUGAUUUUGUGUUGGUUACCAAUAUUUAAAACCUGAAAGCAUCAAUCAUAACAGAAGAAAAAAGAAAAAUCAAAAUUAAAGGCAAAUUGGAAAAGUUUAGGUUCUUACAUAGCUUUACAUGCACCAGGGGCAUGAUAUUUCAGAUGCAGUUUUGACAACCAAUAUCUUGCAUGGGUGUUUGAGUUGUCAGCCUCUAGGGCCAAUUCAAAGUUCUCCUUUGCUGUCUAAUAUAACACCGUAAAAGAGUAAAAAUUUGCAAAACAAUGUGAGAUCUCUAGGGCACAGAAAAUUCUCAAUAUAAAAAUAUACAACUAUAUCUUCUAGUUGGAAAUAGAGACAGUAUAGUUUCAGGAAUACCUCCCCCCUCGCCCACCCCCCCCCCCAACAACCAAAAAUACCAAAAAAAAUAAAAAUAAACAAGAGGAAAAAGAACUACAAAGAGAAAUAAAAAGUUAUGCAGGAAAAAAUGGUCAAUCAUGGGAUAUCUCCACUUGCUUCUAUUUCUAAGAUCUUUCAUUUACUUAAACAAGCCUGACAUAAUCUCAUUUAGCUAAUGAAUUACAAUCUCUUACAAAUGUGUUCGCAAACAUCUUAGUCCCCAACGCUACACGAGUAAAUGAGUGAAAAUAAAAUCCUACCUAAGUUCAGCCUUGGAAAUUGUGCAUAUAAAUUUUAUUACUCCUAAUUUAUGAUUAAUAAUGAUAGGGUGAUUAUUAAUGAUGUCCUUUCUAGGGUUGUACGGGACAUUGGCCAGGCAGAAGAGACAAUGAGAUUAAGAACUACUGGAACUCUCAUUUGAGUAGAAAACUGCACAAAUUCAAGAAGUCAGAUAGCAAAAGUAGUCCACCACCAGGUCCACCACAACCAGCAGCAGAGGUGAUGGAUUUAGUUAAGCAUGGAGGCAAAGCAUUAAAGAAGCGAAAAGCCAGUCAAAUGAAUCAAUCCAACAUGAGGAAGAACAGAAGGAGCACCAAUCCAUCACAAUCAAAAGAAUUAACGGGACUGGCUGAUGCAAUGGUUCAAAUGCCGCGUACCCCAACACUUGAUAAAGAGACUUUGUCUAGUGCAGUCUCUUGGGAAGAUGGAGAUACGAGUAAAACUCAUGGUUUCCAGUAGUAUUAUGAUGGAACCAUGCCCCAAAAAAGAGACCAGAAAAUUUGGCAAGCACUACUAGAACCAGUGAUGUAUGCACCCCUGAAGACGGAGAAACCAAGAGCAGUGUGAUGUUGCAACUUGAAGGUGAACUGAUGACAAGGGGUUCUGAUGGAGUUGUGGAAUUAUCCACAAAGGCCAAUUUGGAAGAAAAGGCCAAAAGGAAAAAAAACUACUUACUCUGUAGUCAGAGCAAGAGAAACCAAAAAGGACAAUUUGGAAGACUAUCAUCACAUCUAUGGCUGUAUCAUCAGUCCUAUGGUUGACUAGAGUGAAUCAGAUGUUAAAAUAAUCCAAUUCCAAUGUCCAGAUCUUGAAGGUUCAUAGCAAAAAAUUCCACCAAGAUAAAUUCAAUAUCAACAGAUAAAAGUGACUUAUCAGAAUUUUAUCAAAAUAUCCAAAAGAAAAUGUUUAACCAAGAUCAGGAAAGAAAUUUAUCAGCUAAAAGUUUUGCGUUAUCUUCAAUGCAUCAAUCGCACAGUAGACAUUUAUGCAGAGGAAAUGCUGCAAAAUCCUCUGCCACUUGUCUACAAGCUACCAAAUGUAAGGAUGGGAAUAACACAAUUGAUGUACUUAAAUAUGAAUGCAGUGAGAAUACUUGAUCAAACUUACCCUAAGCAUAGGGAUGAGACGGUGGUCAUUAAGAUCACAAUAAUCUAUCACUCUAUCAACUUCCUUCAGAGCAUUCCAUCCUUUGGCAAUGAACUCCAUUGCUUUCUUGUUUCUACUAUGCAUGCCUCUCUGUCAAGUAUAACAAGUUAAGUCUAGGUACUACAACUCAUAUAACUCCUCCUGCUAGUAUUGCAAACUUACUUGAGAAUUGAACUGGGAAAAAUGAAGGCUAUUCCUUGUAGAAGCCGUCUUUGAGAGCAGUAAUCUCAUCAUCUUUUCCGUGUCUGCACUUGGAAAAAAAAAUGAAUGUACUAAGAUCCAGACACUGGAGCAAACACCAUAACCUUUCUAUUUGCCAACAUCAACGCUAUGCACAUAAGAUGCAAACAAAAACUUUGGCUUCCCUAAUAAAUGAAUUUAAAAAUAUGACAUACUUGUACAUUGAAAUGCAGAGAGGCAAGGAAAACGGGAAAAGUUAAAAGAGAUAUUCAGGCAUAAUAAUUUCUAGUAAUGCAAGCCUUAUCUCGACCUCACCUCAGGCACCCCAACCCCAAUUAACAAAUGUCCACCUCGCUAGUUCAAUGCAUUUUUUCUCACUCCCGUGCUUUUUUUUCUUUUUUGGAUCGUCCAAUACAUUUUUCUUGCUCCUGUGUUUUUUGUUAUUUUUUUCUCCUCCUCCUUUUAAACACCACAAAAUCUUAAGCAAGAGGUGAGCUACUGCACUGGACUGGACAUAACCACAAACACCUAACGCGCAUUAUAUGAACUGCACCUACGCAUACAAGGAAAAAAAUUUCCCUAGUUCCUCAUUUGAUACAACGCGAUAAUAAUACCUUUAGGUUGUCUCUCUCCCUGGCUUUUGAGACUUCAAUGGCGGAAUGAUAUCUUACUUACUAGGCGCUCAGCUCAGCCGCCAUCAGCUUCUUGUUUCGCUGUUGGUACAGAAGAAGAAAAGGAGGAGAAAAGAGUUCGUAUGGACGGAAGGGCAAAUUUGGCGGAUAAGAUGAUGAGCUAACCUUCACGGAAAUGAUCGGGUUUACUAUUUCAUUAUUCAACAGGUGCUCUGCAUUUGUAAAAUUAGGCCCGGCUCAUGAUUCAUGGGUUCCAAAGUCGAUUGGCCGCAGUCUUGCUGGGAUUUGUUGGGCACUUGGUCUACUACUGACAGUGACACUGCUCGACUCCCAAGACGGCAUUCCUUUGACACUUGUAAUGUUGUACUACUAAUUGCUGUAUCCUCUUUUGUAAACCGACAUCUUUUCCUAGGCCGGAAACCAUCCCUCAUUGGCCCAAAAUUAGCCAUAAACAAUCUGGAUGUCGUAAUCCAUGCACCUUUUGGAUAUAAACUCAUACAAUCUUAUUAUAAAAAAUUAAAUUAAUUAACGGAUAUAAUUAAAUUUAUGUAAAAUUUAUAGUAAUUACAACAAAAUUAUACAAGUUUUUUUCAAAUUUAGUAAAAAUUACGCGAAGUAGUCUGAACAGGAACUCAGGAGACGCUGGAUGCAAAGAAUCGAUUAAUCCAAAGAGUUUUUCCCUUUUUUCAUCCUAAGGUUAGUAAACGAGAUUAGGGUGAUGCUGAGCAAGUAGUUCAACUCGAAACCGCGAGCUAUUCUGUCAACAACAGCUUGAUUCAAUCUCGUUUUGAUUGAAUUUGAGCUGCUUGUCUGAUCCCGUGAGUCGAGUUCGAAUUUCAAUAUUUUGUAUCUGAAGAUUGGAGGAGUCUAAUCAAGCUUUUUAUUAUUUAUAUAUAUUUAAUUUUUAUAUUUAUUAUUAUGAAAUGUCAAUAAUAUUAUUUAUUUAAAGUUACAUGUAAAACGCUAAUUUUUAUCACGUAAGUUUGAUUAAACUCGAUUAUGUUCGAAUAGAUUCGAAAUUAAAUUUAAUUAAAUUCAAACUUGAGAUCAAGUAAUAUAAAUUGAAAUUGAAUUCAAGCUUCGCUUCUAAAAAUUCAAUGAGUUCGAACUUAAUUAUUUUAUCUCGAAUAUUGCACUGUUUGAAUUCGACUCGUCAAAUAAAAUGAGUAGAAAAAAUCUGAAUUGGGGUCCCACGUUAAUAUUCCACGCCACCUGCCCAUGAGCCACGAAGAGAUUGCUCUUCUUUAACGUGUUUAAAUGGCUAAGUCUGAUUGGGACAAGGGAGAUACUGAACUUUCGUAAUAAUGGCCUGUUUGGAACCUGAGUUUUUUGGGAGUUUGUCUAAAACUUUACCAUAGUACACUAUAGAAGUUUUUGAAAAAAUUUUGUAGAAGUUUUUGUAAGGUAAAAAACUUUUUUUUUCUUUUUUUUUUCCUUUUCUUUUUUUUUUCUCUUUCCCUUUCUUUUUCUUUUUCUUUCUUUCCCUUUUCUUUUCUUUCCUCUCUUUUUCUUCUUCUUCUUCUUCUCCGUCACCUCCGCACCCCCAGCAGCUCCCUCCCCCCUGCUGCCCCGCCUUCCCCCUCCUCCCGCCACCUGCCCCUUCCCCCCCCCUCCGCCACCUUCUGCCCCUUCCCCUCUACCCCGCUGCCCCCCCUCUGCCCCGCCUUCCCCUUUCCCCCGCCGCCCUCUCUGCCCCCCCUCCCCCGCCGCCCCCCUUUGUGCCCCCCUCUGCGUCGGACGUAGAGAGAAAAAAAAAAAAGACAAGAGAGGAUGAUGGCAGGGGAGGAAGAGGGGGGGAGGGAAAAAGGGGGAAAAAAAAUUCUUGUCCGGCACCGGAAAUUGGUGACGGAGCCGGCAAUGGAGGUGGUGGUGGGGGAGGAAGAAGAAGAAAAGGGGAAAGGAAUUUUUUUUUGUUGUGUUUUGGAUAUUUUAAGUGUGUAAGUUAAAAAUUUUUGAUAAAUUUUUUGGGGUUCCUGCAACAAAAGUUGUUAAAAAACUAGUUUUAUACAAACAUGGUGAAAAACCAAGCUUCCAAACAGGGUUAUCACUCUUGAAAAAAAGGAAAGUCAAAGGUCAAAAUUAGUGCAAAACUAAAUGGUCAAUACAAGAGCAAAAGUGAAGGGACAGAAUUGCCAUUUACUAAUUGCUUUGUCAGCAUCGCUAACAUCACCGCGUUUUAAUAUAAUCUAACUUCCAAAAACAGCGAAUUUCCCGGCAUUACAAAUAUCAAGCUAAGGCCUUCCCUUGUCGCUCCAACAAACACCAAAUAGGCAAGUAACCAGCUCUGCUAAAAAUAUUUGAAUAUCCCAAAUAUCGGAAGACAAGAUGGGGGCAGUCAAUAUCUGGAACGCCAUCGAAGUUGCAGAGAGCCAUACCUCUGACAUUCCGUCGUCUUCCCUCACCAUCGACCACUCCCUACCGCCUUCCGAUAUGAAGCCGCGGAUCGUGUAAGUUUAUCUUCUUUCAUUUCCUGUUGUUUCAGAUUCCUAAGUCGUUUAAACUAAUUGGAGGCAGAUUAUUUUUGGGAUAGUUUUGUGUUUUCAGCUUCUUACGAGCUUUCUGUUGAAUAUGCUUUAAAUACAUGUGCUCUUCUGUUUAGUUAUGGCAUAAAAUUUGAGUGUUUUAUCUAAUUUACGAUGUUGGCCCAAUGGUUGUUAGCGGAUUUAAAUUCUGGAGAUUAUCUCUGUGAUCUUAGUUUAUCUCGGCGUGAUUUGAGCUGUUUCAUCUCUAGACUGACUCAUUACACGGAUUUGGGGUUGGGGGAGGGUCAGUUGAAUUGAUGAUUUUAUCAUCCUUAGUUAAAAAGAAUGUGACUAUCAAACUUCAGUGCUUUUAACAUAUGCCUCGGUGGAAGUAAUUUGUUUUGAGAUAGGAAUGUCCAAAUAAAUGCUUCAAUCUAGUAAUUUUUUGAAUGUUCUGAUGAUUUUCUCUGGUUUUACUUCAGAGAGCUGUGCAAGGACCUGUUCAAGAAGUGGUCUAAUUUGGACGAGUCUCACUUCUCUGUUGAGAGAGUUUCCGGUGGCAUAACAAAUCUAUGUAGGUUUUCAGUUUUGUGUGCUUACGAGUAAUUAAGCCAUGAGCAAUGCUUGAUUUUAGUUGGAACUCUGUGUUGCUGCGAACACUGCUUGAAUUUACUUGGAACUUAGUGUGUCUGAUAUGCAUGAAAAUUACAGUGCCUGAUUUCUGGUUAUUAAUGUCAAUAUUUUUUUUUUCUCAAGUUUAAUUACGGUUGAAUUUUAUUUGAGUAAUAGUCAUUUACUUUUUGCAGUGCUAAAGGUUUCUGUUGUGGAAAAAAACGGGAAUAUUGUCAAUAUUACAGUAAGGUUGUAUGGUCCUAAUACUGAGUACGUCAUCAAUCGUGAAAGGGAACUACAGGUGAGUCCUCAGGCUUGAUGUUGACGUGAUCAACUCAAUGAGAUUAUUCAAUUAUCAAGUGCAAUACUUGUCUGCUUUAUUUUUAUUACAAUUCUGUAAAGCCGCUUUACACUGCUAAAAUUUGAAGUUGCAUUUGUUUCUGAUGUAGUGUCAGUAACUUCAGAUGAUGCUUCUUCUUUAAAACAAAACAGUUUAUCUUUCUAAAUUUUCUGCUGAUCAUUUCGAGAAAUUUCUACUAUUUUGUGUUGUCUUAGAGAUGCUAUGUAUUCAUACGCUCACAUUGUGAUAUUCUUUUUUAUUGCUUUACUGACAUAGUAAAAGAAACAAAAAGCUGUUACAAAGUGGUUGUCUUCAUGGGAGAAAUUCUGGGUUGGCUAUCGUGAUUUUUUUAUUCUUGGAAAUUCUUUAUCACUCUGGUACUGACUGCAAUAUAUUUUUAGGCUAUCCCAUACCUUUCAGCAGCAGGAUUUGGUGCAAAGUUACUUGGAAUAUUUGCGAAUGGAAUGGUGCAGUCAUUUAUUGAUGCACGAACUCUGGCUCCACCUGGUAAAUUUUUGGAAAUGCAUUGAAGGAAAUAAACAUUUUCCAAUUACAACUCACUUGACUCAAAUUAAAUGAACUUUAAUUCAUGCCAUCUGGGUUGGCUAUUGGUUGCAUGUACAAGAAAAUGUAAAAUUGCUCCUUUUCCUUUGGGAUUUGUUUAAACUCUUGAUUUUUAAUUCAGUUUGGGAACCUUUCUAAGUUGUUCUUCUGUCUGGAAAUAAAUUUCUAGUGGCUUCUGGUUUUCGAGCACGAGUAUAUGCACUCAAAAUGCAACUUUGGAGAACAAACAGAAAUGAGUUUUUUAGUCUAUAGGUUUAGGACAUAUGUAAAUGGUCCUUCGGUAAGUUCAUGCUAUUAUUAAAGAAAAGUGGACAUUAUUUUGGAUGAACUUAAUAAAAGCUCAGUACACAGUUUAACUGGGUUGGAGAGAGUAAUUCACUAGUCUAGGUACAUGGAUGAAAAUUGUAAGGAGCCACUGACCUGAAAUUAGUUUUGACAUUCAUCCUUGCUAUGGAAAGUUUGCCUUAAAUGAUGAAGUUUGACUUUUUAACAUGGUGUGUCAUUGUUGAUAUGUUUUACACUCUUGACAGACAUGAGAGAGCCAAAGCUAGCAGCUGAAAUUGCUAAACAACUUCGUAAGUUUCAUCAGGUGGAUAUACCAGGUUCUAAAGAACCUCAACUGUGGAAUGACAUCUUCAAAUUCUAUGGAAAAGGUCUAUACAUGGGAUGCUAUACAUCUAUAUCCAUAUUCUACUUCCUGAAGGUUUUUGCUCAUUUAAAAGCAUUAUGUCUGUCUUCCCUUGUUUUUGGUCAUGUCUGAGUUGCUUUUAUUGUUGAAUGCAGCGUCAAACCUCAACUUUGAUGAUUUUGAGGAGCAGAAGAAGUAUGAAACAAUUUCAUUUAAAGAAAUAAUUAGUGAAAUCAUUGAGCUCAAGGUAUUAUCUCCUCUGACUUCUUGUAUCAUCUGUAAUCCAAUAUGUUUCUCUUUCUUCCUCUUAUGGAACUGGGUGACUUAUCAUGACAUAUCUUUCUGUAUAAUAUCUUCUUGUCCAUAAAUUUUGGUGUAUGCGUUUUGCGAAGACUAUUGGCUAUGAUUGAGUGGUAGUGAACAUUGCAUAUGCAAAGGAAGAAUGAAAAUAUAUUGGUUUUUUUGUUAAGUUGGGUUUGAGAUUCUGAUGUUUGAUUAUAGCAAUCUUUGAGGAAUAUCUCUCUAGUAAUGCAGUCCGUUUUAUCAAGUUGAUGGCAUAUUGUCAUUAAAUUGUUGAAAAGUGUUUGUUUGGAUUGGUUAUUAUUUGCAAAAAAUUUUUGAUUGCAUCAUAGAUACGUUUCCAAUCACCUUUUAUCUUUCCAACCGCAUUUUUAUCUCAUAUAUCACAAAAAGUGUUACAGUGUUAUUUAAGAAAAUUUCCAAAUAAUCUACUAUCUGAACAGACGCAGCCACCUAAAAAGUUGUCAAAAUAGGAUUUCAUGCUGAAGUCAAAGCAUGGUUUGGCUUUUGAAUACACAUUUAUGAGUUUCUGAUGAUUUUUAAAUUUCCUUCUUCAAAUGUUUUUCCCUUUUUUUUUUUAUUUGAGUAUUCUUUUGGAAAUGUUUCUCUGUAGAUAUAUCAAUGGAGAAUGAUUCUUCCCUUUCCCGGAGUCAUGAAGUUAUCUGUGGCAUGAUAAGCUAUUAAUUUUUGCUUGAAACAAUUUCUGUUUUACACUGUUUAUUUUCCUUUGUAUCAAUUCUAAACCAGCAGUUUUGUAUAAAUUUUCUAAAAUAGAUAAUUUACUCGGCUCUAUGACAGAUUGAAUUUAGUUCUUUCUGUCAUUCAUCAUAAAAGUGUCCGUGUGUUGUGGCUAUGUCUUGGAGUCAAGCUUCAGUGUGGGAGCAUGUUACCCUGUUUAAAUCGAUACAGUAGUCUUCUCUCCAUAGGUUCAGUUUCACAUGAUGUGGUAAAUAUAUCUUUGUGGAACAGGAAUUGACUGGAUGUCUUGAUGCCCCAGUAGUCUAUGCUCAUAAUGACUUGCUUUCAGGAAAUUUGAUGCUUAAUGAUGAUGAAGGUAUUUAUGCCCAAACCUAAUGGUUUUUCUGUUGAGACUUCGCACCCCUUCCUAAUGUUUUCCUGUUGGGGGUGCUCUAUGUAUGCAUAAAUGUGCACACCCACAAAUUAACUCCCAUUUCCUUUGUUUCCAUUUAUUUGUUGUUUUCUAGAAACCUGGACAAGUUGCACCGCAUCAUUGCAUCUAUCCUUUUGCCUAAAAUGCAAUAUAUUAGUUAUGGGUUCAGUCCUGCAAGUUGAGAUACUGUAGGCUUGAGUUUUUCCAGCUAACUUAUAAAAUUCAUUAUGAAGCACAGGCCUCUGAAUCAUGUAUGAUAUUAAACUUGACUAGGAAAUAUCAGUUCUCUAGCUCAUUUGGCUUUGCUUGAUUGGCCACUGUCUAGUAGUGAAUGGGAACAUGUCGAAUAAGGAUUUUGGUCGAAAAUAGUCGUCUUUUUCUUAAGGGGUGAUGCGUAAAUGGUUCUUCAUGGGAAGUCUGGAGAUUAACCUAUUCUCAACAUUCAUUCUGAAUUAGUAGUUGAUACCACUAUUUCAAUUUGACCAAUGACUGUCUUUUGAUGAAUGUGCAGAAAGACUCUACAUCAUUGAUUUUGAGUAUGGAUCAUAUAGUUACAGAGGUUUUGACAUUGGGAAUCACUUUAACGAAUAUGCUGGCUAUGAUUGUGACUACAGCUUGUAUGUCAUUUCAAUCUUCUCUUCCACUCAUUUGAUGCUAUAAAAAACUUGAGGUGAUAUGGAAAAUUUAUCUGCAUGUAGGUGCCCAAACAAGGAUGAACAACAUCAUUUCUUCAGACACUAUUUAGACCCUGAAAGACCAGAGGAGGUAUGUGUUUACUGUAAACUCAUUGUACUUGCCAUUAACAAUUUUCUUUUUCAGGCUAUACAAAGUUGUGUGUUCUAAAAACUUAACCUAGAUAGGCUGUCUCCAACUCGUAAGAUGUGAGCAGAUCUCAUGGCUUGAUGGUUGUAUAUAUUGGUGAAUUGGAUUUUUUUUUGUUUCUUCCCACCUGAAAUACUAAAGUGGAUUUCUGCUAUGUAUUUUAGGAAGUUAACUGUGAUGGCUGUCAAAUGCCAAUUGCAGGGAGAUGAUUGUAUUUCUCCUUCUUCUUCUUGGCUUUACUCUAGCAGAAGUAUUGAUGACUGACUUGCUGUUGGUUAUGGACCUGGUCUUUGCUGCUACUUAAUUCAGUUUCUGUUACUUUAGGCUUUGUUACUACGCUGCUUUCAAAUAUCAUCCUUUGUAACACUAGUUCGAUUUUUUGUAUGUAAUCUGUACAAUUCAGCUUUGGUUACUAAAGUAUGGUAAAGUAGUUUGUACAUAUGUGGUUCAAGAUCAUUCUAUGUUGUUACCUUUAUCCCAUUCUGUUCUUUCAUCCACAUUAACCAAACCAGAUUGCAGAAUGAUUUGAGAUAUACAAUUAUUUCAUCAAGUAAAAGCAUUAUUGUCAAUUUGAAAAAUCACAUGUCCGGGAUUCAUAUAGGAAGAUGGACGAAUGUUUUAGUUACAAUAAGCAACUUGUCGUCAUAAGCAUUUGGGACAGUAAUGUGUUUCUGAUGUGAAUACGUAGGUGCUCUGACAAUUUUAUUUCUAGCUUCAUUGAUGGUUAACAUCUUUAGCAUAUAAGAAACUCGAAAUGUGUCUCACGAACUUUUUAUGCAAUUUGCUGAACAUGAAAUUAGUCAACUGAGUUGCCUUUGACAUCAGGUAUCUGACAAAGAUUUGGAAGCUCUUUAUAUCGAGACAAAUAUGUACAUGUUAGCAUCACACUUGUAUUGGGCGUUAUGGGCUUUAAUCCAGGUAAUAUUUCUUUGCCUUCAUUAGUGAGCGGUGUUUUCAGCAUCCCCUUGACUGCUGGAAUAAAUAUAGCGAAUGUAGGGAACAGUCAGAGUUGAAGAAAUUUUGUUUAACUAUUGAGUAUCACACUUUUCACAGGCAAAAAUGUCUCCAAUUGAUUUCGACUAUCUUGGUUAUUUUUUCUUGCGGUAUGGCGAGUUCAGAAGGCAGAAAGAAACCUGUUUCUCAUUGGCAAAAGCAUACUUGUCAAGAUCUCACACACGGUGAACCAUUGGUUUUACAAUUCUAGGUAUGCUGUGAUUCUUUUGUAUGUUGUGAAAGUCAUAGUAAAGCAGUAGAUCUCUCUUUGUUGUUGUUGUUGUUUGUCAGUUAGGACUUUAAAUAUUUCUUGUAGACUGGAAAACCAAUUGUGUUUUUCCAGAUAUUCGUAAUAAAAUUUUGUAGUAUUUCUUUUUCAUGCGUCAUAUUUGUUAUUGAUUAGUACUAGCCUUUCGGGGGCGCGUGUUGUCGAGACUUUCUGCGUUUUGAAAUUUCAUUCCUAUUUUUGUUUGCAUCGUGGGUUGAGGUAAAAUCUGUUUGUCACUCCGUUUGAAAGCUCGUGAUUUUGAACGUAGCACUUAGUGGCAUCUGGCUGGGAGACGACAAUCUUAAUUGCACAAUAAUGCCCCGAGGAUUCUGUCACAUGCGUAAUCAGCAUAUCUAGAAAUCUUUUUUCCCCAUUUCAAGGAGAUAGAAUCAACACUCUUAAAUCGUGAUGGAAGAAUAAAAAUUACCCUAGAAUGCCAGCAUGUAUGUAGCUACCGUAAGAAAAACGGGUUUUUAUUUUUAAUUACAACAAGAUCCUCUUUGAGAAGCCGCCCAGUCUCCUAGUCCUGAUAUGCUUCUAUGUCGAACUCUUAUGCCUCGAUCUUCUAACCCCUCAGAAUCUCCACCUUGGACGGUCUUAUGUAUCGCUAUGGCUGUGCUUACGAACGCUUCUUCAACAUUUUGAGCAGUCCUUGCUGAGCACUCGAUGAAUAUUAAACCAUGCUUCUGGGCAAAUUCUGAGCCUUCUUCGGUGCUGACGGCCCUACUGCCAUCCAAGUCAGACUUGUUGCCUAUCAGCAUUAUGGUCAUGUUUUUGUUAGCAAGUUCCUUGAGGUCCUUCAACCAAGAAGCAAGAUGAGCAAAACUUUCCCUGCUCGUGACAUCAUAAACUAGGACUGCCCCAGCAGCACCUCUGUAGAAACUCUGCGUUAUUGACCUGAACUUCUCCUGGCCUGCCGUGCCCCACACGUGAAGUUUUGUUUUCUUCUUGUCCGCUCUGAUGAUUCUAGUUCCAAACUCAGCACCCAUGGUCGGAUCGUGCCCCUGUUCAAAUCGUUUGCUGGUGAACUGCUUAAGAAGGCACGAUUUACCAACUCCGGCAUCUCCUAUUACAAUGUAUUUGAAGAGAUAAUCGUACGACAUCUUGGAUCGAAUUGGAAUAAUGCACGAGUAUUAGCAACGGCUGGAGGUUGUAUGUAUAGGUUGAAACUAGAGGAGAUACAUGGGUUUAUGUACUGGAAUAGAAGAGAGAAUUUACUCCUUCCUAUACGUACAAGGAUCCUAACGUAAAUCGGAGAUGGAUUAGGAGACGUCAGAGUUGGAGAGACCAUCGUUAAGGAUUCAUUAUUGUGUUGGUUUACGUUUUUUUUUUUCUGGAAAAUCGAUUCCCUCCUAGAAAAGGAUUUGCACAAUCAAAGAAGUUUGUAAUUCGAUGGUAGUUCAAUCCAUCUGCACAAUCAAAGAAGUUUGUAAUUCGAUGGUAGUUCAAUCCAUCGACUCCGUUAUAGGUUCAAUUGACUCUCCUCUAAAUUAGACUAGAAUAGAAAUAGAAUAGAUAAAUGACGAAUGACAAAAAAACAAACAGUGUGUAGUAACACUGUUGUUCUGUAGGAUGCGAUGCUAUACUUAAGCAUGCUUCCUUGGCAUUUUUAUUUUUUAAACCCUUCCACCCAUUUCCACAUCCUUUUCACGUCCAAUUGCUAAGCAUAGAAUUUGAACCCUAAACCCAAGAAAUAACUGUAAGAACCCUUCCCUGAUCAUUGAGCUAAACAUGCUUGAUAUUAAGCAGGCUCAAUUGAAAAAAAAAAUCCAAUUCUUAUUCAUGAAACGAGUAUAAAGAAGGAUAUCCAAAUUAUCUAUUUGCCUUUACGUAUUUUAAUACCACAAUUAAUAUGAUCAGGUAUUUGCUGAAGAAGAAAGCGGCAUAUAUUUAACCAUUCUACCCAGAAAAUUUCCAAGAACUUUUCCUGCCACAACAUUUUGUAGCUUAGAGAAGCAAAAAUGAGAGAUUAACAUCUAAUAGUUUAAUUAAUAUUCAACUAGGCUCACAUUAAACAUCCCAUUUGAAUCAGACGCAUUAAACAUCCAAUUUGGCUCAAAAGCCAAGCACCAUAUAAGCCGGGAAAUCAUGACAGGCCAAGAGGCCACGGCACCGAUGCUAACUAAUGGAAUUGCAAUAUGUACAACAGAAUGAAGACUUUAACCAGUUUGAGAUGCCGCAUCCAUACGUAGAACAACCAUGUAUCACAAAACCUUUGCUCUGCUUCUUCAGUCUAACAAGUAAAACCACCAUUGUUAUCUACCCAGAGUCUAGAGAGGACAGAACUAAAUUAAUCAUACAUCUACGAGGACAAACCUUGCUUGUCAAAAGCCAUAUAGUUAAGAGCAUAUCAAAUUGGGGAAGCAAAUAAGGAUAUAAAUAUUUUGAACCAUUUCUAUUUUCCAAGUGUAGUUACAAUCUUCAAGCCUGAAGAACCUGGCAAUGAACUAUAUGAUGUUUAACACGAUUCCUACCUGCAAGGCCUGACAAGAAAUUUGUAACCAAAGUCUUCAACUGCCCUUUUCCCGAAAUAGUUUCCCAUAAAUGUUCCGCUGGGGCUCCACUCCUACUGUCAUCAGAUUUGGAAACAUCAACCACAGAAAUACUCAUGUUGUUCCGGAUGAUGCACAACUUUCCAUUCAGAGGGAGGAGUGCAGCUGCCUCCAAAGCUUUGGAAUUACCCAAAUGCAUCUUACUAUCUAUGUGCUUGCUCCAAGAAUCAGUUGCUUCAUCAUAUACCCUAAGUUUGCAGCCAUCCUUACACUCCAAUGCAUACAGAUGCCCAUUCAUUGAAGUGCUAGGGUUCCUCCAGCCUGCUACCAUUCCAUCAUACACAGGGUACCACCUGUCAGUUUCGGGUUGGUAGAGCUCACUAAGAACCUGUCGAUGAGAUCCUAGCCCCUUCAAGAACCACUUGCCCUCAUAAACAACACCAAUGAAGGGCACCAUUGCUGUACUCAUCUCACAAAUAAUGGACCAUCUGUUCUUGUUGGGAUCAUAAACUUCAGCUGAUCUAAGUGACCGAUGAAUCCCGUCAUUUUCUCCACCAGCUACAUAUAAACAGUUAUUUAUAACACAAGAGCCAAAGAAAUGCCGCCUUUGAAGCAUAUCUGGUGCCCGGUGCCAUUUAUUUGUUCUUGCACUAUAAAAGAUGACUCUUCUCAUUGAUCCCUUCACCGGGUCUUUACCACCAAAUAGGUACAGGUGACAGCCACUGAGUACAGCACAUCCAAACCCAAGGGCUUCUGAAUAUUCUUUAGGAACAGGUGGAAGAGGUUGCCACAGCUGAUACAUAGGAUCAAAAGCAUGCCAUGAUAUUUUACCAUCUCGAUCUCUCUUCAUAAUGUAUAUCCAUUCUUCUGCAAUCCCUAGAUUUUUCCGAAGAGAAUAGAAGAAGUUACCAGCCAGAAGACGAUACCAUCUCUUGCAGACUAAUCGGAGUUUGCGAUGUUCAAUUCUUGGGACCCGAAUUAAGCAUGCAAUGGCAAGAUCAUCUGGAAGUCCUGGCAAUAACGGGGAUUGGCUACGAUUUUUGUCUCGUGGUGGUUUCUGUCUAGUAGGGUGAAUGGAAGGUUUGAUGUCAGGUUGAAGACAGAGCUUUGUUCCAGGAACAUACUUUUUAGCUCCUGCAACAGUUUUGAGGCCCGCAUCAACUCGACAAAGACACGCUGUUGUAUCAACCUGCAAAUGUACAAUUAUCAAGAAGAAUUCGAUUGUUCAACAUUUCUCUCCAUGUCAAUGACUUGGACGUUAUAGAUAUUCAGUUGUAAUUCAUGAAGUACACAAACAGGCACUUUAGUAAACCUUUACCAAAUAUAACAACUAAAAAUAAUCACUCAAACUAGUCAGAAAAUCUCAAUAAGAUUGAGACACCUGACUCUAAAUGUAUGUUUUCAUUUGUGCUUAAUAUACACUGCAAUAUUGUAGCUUCGCAGAACAUUCUGGUCCAAAUAUCUUCUAACCAGUUAAUAUGUGAUCAGAACAUGCUUGUUUGAACAAUUAUCCACCACUUGGUGAAAGAUGACAUUUAAGUUUAAUUCAGAUUUAGCUACCCUUCAAUGCAUUAUCAUGUCUAACUUCUAAAAUUGAGAUGUUUGGCAUGAAGUCAAAGUGUUUGACCAAGUAUGCUACAAGAAAAAUAUGAGUAAUCUAACAUGUACAAUAAACUAAAACUCGUGGCACAAGAAUACUGCCAGAUACUUCCUCUACCCAUUAGGACACUACCCAAACAGGGCGCCCCCCCUUGGUGGCGUUUUUUUUUUUUUUGGGGGGGGGGGGGGAGGGUGUUGAAGGGAGCUAAUUUAUAGUAGUGAAACUCUUCCGUUCUCAAUUUCUAUUGAGUCUUAAAUACACCCACAUCAUGACAACAUAGUUUGCUCACGGCGAAACCUCAUUUAGAUUAGGUGGUGACAAAAUCCUAAAUAAUGCAUCCGAAAUCACAAAAUAGGAAGGAAAUAGAGAAAGGAUACAUGUACAGACUUGGCAACUUAAAAUGGGAAAACAAACUAAUGGAGCUCUAGUUUUGGAGGUAAUUACUAGAGAUGUGAGGCACCCGAAUUUUCCAAGUACCAUAUCAAUUGGUAAUGGAAUUAUUUUUUUAUUAUGCAUCUUAUUCCAAUAAUUAGCAAUCAUCCUAUCAUAUAUGCAUCGCGAAAUAUUUUUUAAAGAAAUCAGAGGACAAAAAAUUCCACAAAUGAAAGCAAGACAACUUCGUUCUCCUAUAAGCUACUCCUACCAAGAUAAUGAAAAGUAAUUGGAAAGAACACAAAGAGAGUCCAGAUUUUACCAGGGGAGGCUGAAGCAUCCUAUCCAUCCUUGGACAAUAAUCACUCGGAAAUUUACAACAUCAUUUGCAUCUACACUAACGCAACUCCAAUUCUCCGCAUCUUCAAAAACCCAUCUCGAAAAUCAAAAACCCACAAUGAAUGAUCUCACAUUUCACAGUUUCAGGCAUCAUAGACGGGGAAUCCGAACCCUCAAAAGUCUUAUAGUCUUUGAAACAAGCCCUAAAACCGCAAAUGCGGGACAGCCAGAAAAUGCGAGAAAGCACUCAAGAAAGACAGAAGACGAGACAGAUAGAUAGAGACCCUCCCUUCCACUUCCUUUCACCCUCACAAGCCCCUCAAUCUCUCACUAUUGAAAGAUUCAAGUGGAAAAUUGGGCCCAUAAACUCAAAUGGCACAACCUACCAAGCACAAGAGUGUGUACAACAAGAGACCAAAAUCAAAGAAGAAAAAUAAAAAGGAAAAAGGCAAAACCUAAACCAUGGAUGAGGAAGAUGAGCUGGGUGACAUAUUUGGCUACUGUUUUUAAAAUUGGUAAAGAGGAUUGAAAUAGUCUAAUAAGUAGUCUUUUCUGAUUGUAUGACAGCUGCUUCUUCUUCACCUGUUCAUGCCUUCUUUUUCAAUUGUUUACUAAACGUAUAAUUACCAACAGAAAAAAGGCGUCCAAAUGAUAAUUAUUUAUUCAUUGGAAGGUUAAUUUUGUCCGAAUACGUACUAUAAUUCAAGAAAAUGUCACAUACCAACUGACCAAGUACUAGUUGCACAAUGCAAAUUUAAAAAAAGAACUUCACUACCUAGUACCUACCAAGAUUCCUAUCUUUGCCCUUCAUCGUACCUAAUUGAAAAUUUUAAUCACAAAAAAUAUAAAAAUUUUUUGAUAAACAAAUUACAAUCCAAACACAUUGAAUUAAAGCUUUUUAAAUAUUUUUUUACUCCGCAUGAAUUAAAUCGCUAUAAUAUAUAUUUUUUUACUAAAAAUUCAGACAAUGACAACCCAAAUUAACGAAAGGUGACUAAAGAAAUCAAAUGUGGUGUCAAUAAACAAGGAGUUUGUUUGGACAGGAGGUUAUUUAAAAUAUUUAUUUGAAAUAAUUACUAUAGCAUUUUUUGUGAUAUGAUGUAUGUGAGAUAAAAAGUUAGUUAGAAAUUGUGUUUAUGAUAUAACUAGAAAAAAAAUUUGAAUUUUUGUUUGCCUUCUUUCUAGAUCAUUUAUAGAAAUUGAAUAGGGGAAUAAUUUUCGAAUAUAUAUUAUUAUUGUUUGCUGAAAGCGAAGACUGUGGAAUACGCAGCAUUGAAAAGAAGUCUGUAUAAAGAUUCAAAAAUUUGGAACAUUGUCCCACAAUUUGUCAAUUCUAACAAAUGUGCCUUAAAGUAGGAGAAAUUUUCCACUGUGUCUGGGCCCAACAUCCAUCAUACUUGACUUGCUCCACUAAGGCUGAUUUUUGGUCAUGGAAAGAAUUUGGGUCCACCCUCCAGCACUUUGAUCCUAUUGGAUACUUGAUUUUCUACCUUUUUUUUUUUGUUUUUUUUUUGGUAACUCGGAACGGGUCUCAACCCGAAUCCUUAGGAUCCGAGCCGGCACACCAAAUCUGAGGGAAGCCGAUAGCCCCAUACAGCUUUUUCGGACGAGUUAAGAUGUGCAGCGUAGCGAGCACAAAUCGAACCCGAUCAGUGAAAAAGCCGGCAACUCAAGGCUGAUCCCUCAACCGCUGCGCCAUAUGCCCUGGGACCUUGAUUUUCUACCUUCCGAGUAAUGUGCGGCAAAGAGGGGGAAAAAAAAAAGGGAAACCCAAAAAUGAGGGGAUCUAUUUGGAUGAGAUUGCUGCUAAUGGCACGGCCCAUUGCACUAAUGUCCAAUAAACUUGGAAACACAUAAAGAUCGGAUCCGUGGCAUCAUAAACGAAUCCCUAGUUAGUCCAGUAAACGUAAUUGAACUUUGAACUCAAAAGUGGGGAGAAAAGGGAAUUUGUGAUUGUGCAUGCUCUUGCUCGUGCAUUGCCAUAUCUUUUCCGGUUUUUGCAAAAUCAUCCCAAAUGAUUUUUAACCAAGAAGCUGAGCUUAUAUGAUUGAUUGGGCGAAAGAGUGUAGUAGCGCCGUGUGUGGGUGUCCCUUUGCACCUUCCAUUUAUUGCACUUACGUGAAAGCGUAGUCCUUGCCAAACCUAAUUGCCUUGAUCAUUACUGUCACUGUCCAUGAACUUUUCCCUUUCAGUUUUACUUUUACACACCUACUCGUUUUUGUUUUUCAUGGAGGAUGGAGAGGAGAGGAGAGGAGGGAGGGAGUUAAAAGACACCCUAGAGGACUUGUCAUUUUUGCUGUCCAAAGGAAACUAUUACUGGGAGAAGAAGCAAAUCUCUGUGAUUUGCUUCAACUCGUGCAUGCUUUUUAAUUCAAUCCAUUAUCCAUCUGCCAAAAAUUUAAAUCUAAAAUAAAUGUCUUCUAUCUACACCAUUUUCUGUUCCAACAUCUGUCAAAUCACCAUAUAUCCUUUAUAAUUAUCUUAUUGUAAUUCUUUUUCUUAUCCCUUUUAAGUUUCAACGAUCACUUUUUUAGUUAAAUUUUUUUAAGUCUUUGAUUUUCAUAUUCUAUUCUAUUAGCAGUGUUAGAACUUAAAGGAUCAAGAAAAAGAAUUAAAAUAAAGUGUUUGUGAAUAAUAUACAGCGAUUUAAUGGAUGUUGAAAUACGAAAUAGUAAAGGAAAUGGAAUAGAAGAUCUCUUUUUUUUUUUUACAACCAAAAAGCGAAUCAAUUCGCACUCCCUAUUGGAAUACUACAAAGGGUACAAGUUGCUCUUCUUUUCCUUCAUUUUUUUUUUUUUGGCCCUUUUGGCAAAACAAAAAGAAGAAAGACAAUAGCCUUUCUCGUAGUAGCAAUAAUGUGCCACUGACAAAUUACGUUCGACCUUCCAACAUAGAAAGAGUGAGAUUCCCGCUCGCAUGGUUUGCAAACUUCACUGCACAGUGCAUACAGCCACAACCACAAAAGAAGUGGAGAGGUUCCGAGGAUGACAAACAAGAAAAUCAAAACCAAAAUCACGUUUUAAAUCACUCUCUGUUUCUCUUCACGCCAAAAUCAUAUGGUUGUUUUACGCCAUUGUUGCCCUCUUGAUAAUGGCCACAUGCAUUGGUACAAACCGGCAGUCCGUUGAUUAGUUCAAGAGAAAAUUUUGAUAAAAAAGGGGCAAUAUUUCCCCUAGCUUGACCGGCACUUGACAUGACACAAAUGCAUUUACAAUUAUUAAAGUAUUUUGUAAGUGUCAUCUUCCAAUCGAAAUGGUAACUUGAAUGCUGGUUGGAAGUAACCAACAGCUAGCAUGUAAUUUUUAGUUCUUUUAACCGCGCUGCCACAAUGGCUACACUAUGACUACAACAUCAGUCAUUGACUUGGUUGGUUUGGCGGAUGGCAAAUGGGUGGGACUCAAUUGAAAUUUGAAACUGUAAAAUAUGGACUGUAUUCAAACAGUUCCAUAUUAGUCUUUCUUCUUUUUUUUUUUUUGUCGACACAGGGGUAUCCGGGUCAAUCCUUACGGGGCCCGACUAAUUCCCUGCGGCUCGGAUCCAGCGCCCCAACCCGACCCGAACACGUUAAGUGCGCGGAGGAAUCCGGUGGAGCAGAGACUCGAACUUGUGACCUCAAGGUUCACUGGUGAGAGGCGCUGCCGCUGGACCAUUCACGCAGGGGCCCAUAUUAGUCAUGGGGACUAAAAUGGGUUAGACGACCUAUUUUAAUACCGUCCAAAUACUCAAUAAAUUUCAUUUUGUUUUUUGGUAAAAUUCUUUUUUUUCCUUAAUCAGAUGCCUCAAUAUUGGUAUGUGCAUGCGUGUGUCAUCUGGUAUGUUUGUUUACCUUUGUAAAAGUUCUACACUUCUCUUUGCAUGUUGUGUGAUAGUUUUCCAAACUAUAUGUAUAUAUAAAAAAAAAAAAAAGUACUAGAUAUGAAAUUCAUAAAAGAUCAACUCUCACCAAGCCAGUAUUUGGAUAAAGUUUGAGCUUCAAAUUUUACUUGAUAUGAAAUUUUCAUUAAUUCAAAGUAUUGCUAGCCAAUAUGCAUACAAGGUAACACAAUAAUGAUUCAUCAUUACCACAAAGUGUAAGAAGUAAUCUUUGUUAUUUGUAUGCACGAGCAAGUGCUUUGAAUUCGAGAGUAGAGAUUAUUCUAGGAGGCAAAAACAUGGGUAAACUGACUUAUAGCUCAUGUGAUCCAAAUUUUGUCACAUCUUCAAUUCUUGGAUUAGUGAGAUGGUAUGACAAGCCAAUUUGGCUAAUUCCUUAGACUAUUGCUUGAAAGAAAAAAAGACGUCUACAUACGGAUCUGACAGGUAGGGGGUAUAAAUUUAUGGGUACCGGGCUGUCUCAGCCCGGCACCUGACACUUUUCUUUUUUUUUUUUUUUUUUAAAAAAUCCACAUGGGUGCCGGGCUGUCUCAGCCCGGCACCUGACACAUUUUUAGCAGGUGUGGGCUGACAGAAUUUUGUGUCGGGCAGAUUCUCCUUUUUUUUUUUUUUUUUUUAAAGCUGUGCACCAGACAGCUUUUUAAAGCCAUGCGCCCCUCCAUGCAAUUUCCUGACCCGCCAGAGCUUUUGUAUUUACGUUCUUAGCAAUUUUGCACAAAUCUAUUUUCAUCUCUUUCUUACGUUUCAACUUUGAAAUGAAAAUUAAUUAACUUAAAAGACUAAAAGAUUUAGUACUUCAGGUCGACUCAACUUUUUAUUAAACUUUUUUUUUUCUUGUUUUGAUUUUUUGAUUUUUUUUUAUGGGACAUUUAUGGAAUUAUCCUCACAAUACAAACUACGAAAAAAAUUCAGAACUUAAAUAGAUGUUCUAUGGUUAUGCAUUAUGUUCGAUUGGUAAAAUGCAUUAAUUCAAUAUAAGUACCAACAUGAGAAUGAAUACAAAUUCUAAAAUGUUACGGUUAAUUACAAUUAAUUCCAAAACCAUAUAUCUUAUUUCUCACUUUACCUCCGUAAUUUUUAUUUUUGCUCAGUUAACCCCCUAUACGAUGAAAUUACCCUUCCCAUAUUUUCAUUUUUCAUUUACCUUUUUCCGUUUACCUUUAAUUACCCUUCCUUUUUUCGUCUAUUUUAUUCUUUUUUCUCUUUCCUCUAUCUUUCGUCCUUUUCAAUAUAAAGAAAAGGAACAAUAAAGUGACAAAGAAAAUAUAAGAGCACAAAAGAGGAAGAAGAAAAUGCUAGAGGAAAAAGAGUUAAUAAUUGUAUAGGUAUAAUUGUUUCCAAUGCAAGACAAAGCGAGACAAAAAACGUUGUUAGGAGCUAAAGUGAAAAAUGAUAUAUAUUCUAAGGAAAUUAAUUAUGAUUAACGCCUAUGCUCAAUUUGUAACAAGUUCAAAUCAUCAAAAGUAGCAUCCUCUACCCUGAUCAUGGAUUCAUGAUCUUCAAUGUCCAAUGACCCAACAAGAUUAAAAAACUUUACUUUAAAAUUGCUCCUAAAUACUUAAUAAAUGCUUUUGAUACUUUUUCAUUGGUAUUAUUUGUUCGUUAUCCAAAAGUUGAGAGUUGAGCCUCUUUUAAAAGAGUUACUCUACUCUCGCGGAUGUUAAGAAUUACCCUGAACCAUUCAUAUUUCUCCCUUGCCGCCCCUUUCCCUAUCAGUUCACCAAAAAAAGCCCUAAGCGGUUAUUUUUUUUUCAAUACUAGCAAUUGUAGUGGAAAAGUUGAUUUCCCCUGUGGGUUGAUCAAAAAACCCUAAGUUGUUGUGGGUUGAUCAAAAAACCCUAAGUGAUGAAUUUUGUUUCAACCUAGCAAUUCUAGUAGAAGGUUGGAGUCACGUACGCUAAUUUUGCUGACCGGUUAUAUUUUUUUUUUUUGUUUUUAAGAAAACACCGUGGGUGUCAGUGAAAGAAUGUGUCAGUUGCCGGGCUGAGACAGCCCGGCACCCAUGUGGAUUUAAAAAAAAAAAAAAAAAAAAAAGAAAAGUGUCAGGUGCCGGGCUGAGACCAUAAAUUUAUACCCCCUGCCUGUCAGAACCGUAAGUAGACGUCUUUUUUUCUUUCAAGCAAUAGUCUAAGGAAUUAGCCGACAAAUUUUGAGCCACCGUAUCUAUAUAAACCGGGUCUAUUCAAGUAUUUGCUACACAUAGCUGGGAUGGGGUCUGCCCGAUCCCAGGGGAUAUAAACAGAAGUGUAGUUUCUUGCCAGCAUGGUUAUAAUACGAGCCACCGUAUCUAUAUAAACCGGGUCUAUUCAAGUAUUUGCUACACAUAGCUGGGAUGGGGUCUGCCCGAUCCCAGGGGAUAUAAACAGAAGUGUAGUUUCUUGCCAGCAUGGUUAUAAUACGAUCAACAGAUUACAAAAUAUUCCAGCCAGCACCAAAAGCACACACAAAUGCAGAGGUUCACUACCUCAGUAAGAUACAUCAAGACCCACGCCUGCCUCUAAGGACUUUUCAUGUUACGGCUACUCCUUCCAAGGAAAAAAAGGAAAAAAAACGAAACGAGUUAGAAGCAGUUGCAAGUCUUUGCAGAAACAGGAAGCUCGUCAAACAUUCAAUCAACGACGUGAAUUUGCGCCCCCACAUUCCACACACGUAAUUGAGGAUGGAUUUUGUUGACGAGGCACAAUUUCUUGACGUAAAUGCUUAGAAUCGGAAGAGGUAUAGGCUUGGAAAAUCUAUCGUCAACUAAUUGAUACUAUGGAGUUCUUCUUCUUCCUGUGUUCGGAGUGAGAGAAACAGGUGUGGCUGAGGUUUGGGAAAUUGGGUGAUUGAUGAAGAACAUCAGGGGAAAGAAAGCUGUCGAUAUAUUUUUCAAAUACGCCGAAUCCCACAUUUUAGAUACCCAACCCGCCCAAAUCAAAUUUGGGUAAUGGGUACCCAUUGGGUCUCAAGUUCCAAAUGAGAAGAUAGAAAAAUGGAAAAUGGAGCAAUUGGAGCCAAACAUCCACGAUUUGCCUUUAAACAAACGCCAAAAAGAGAGAACAAAGAAGGAUAAAAAAAAGCUCUGGGAUUUGUAUGUACCAUCAUCACCCAUUUCACUCAUGUUACAGCUACUUGUAAUCUUAGGAAUCUAAAGAGCAGAAUGUACAUAUAAGAUUGCAAGAAAGUUCGGAAAAACUAUUCCAGCAGUCUAAAAGAGUGGAACCAAAAACUAUUCCAGCAGUCUAAAAGAGUGGAACCAACUCCAGAUAAGAGGAAAGCGAUAUCGAGCUGAACUCACAUCAUAAUAAGCCUACCAUUGUAUUUCCGUGAUCUGUAAUCAUUUCUUACUGGCAGUCAAUCAAGAGAUUACUGAAUUAAUAGCAGGUCGCUGCCUGGAUGUAAUUCUGGCACUUCAGCUGUCUAAAAAAAAAAAAAAAAACUAAUUUUAGUACAAAAGGGGGAAAAAUAAUACGCAGGAUCUCCUUCUGGGGAUCACCAGUGUCCAAUGAAUGAAUGGAGUGCCACAUAGCGACAUCCUCCGGCAGCGGAAAUGCUAUCCAUGCUCUGUCCCUAUUGAGUCAGGAAUUUGUUCAAUUGAGCCCAAAAAAUGUUUAAUCUGUGCGAAGCACAUCAGGUUGCGGCUUGAAAGUCCCAAGAAGCAAAUAUGGCAAGAUAACCAUGCCCGCCAUGAAUAGAGUGAACUGCCAUAUUACACAAGACAAUUAGGCAUCAUCCUAGAAACUCUGAAACACUUAGUUCAUCAUUCAUUUUGACAAAUCAUCCUGCACAAUCUUCAUAUUUUCUAACAUCGAUUAUUUUGUACUUCUUCCUUCGGGUCAGAAGCGAAAACUGUUAGACAAUGAGGAUCAUUGCUUCAAGAUAAAGCAAAAAUGCAAGUGAAACUAACAAUUUCUCUUCCUUCCCCCACCCCCCACCCAAAAAAAAAAAAACCUUUUUUGGGGGGUUGAGGGAAUCUUUUCUUAAUCAUCAACUCGAGCUAUCAUUUUAUCAGUCUAAACAUGCUUAUCACAAGAACAAAAUCUCCUCCAAAAACAAAAACAAAAUCUCCUCCAAUACCAAUCUCCACAAAGCAAAUCGAGUGUUUUCAUUCCUUAAAACAAGUAGAGUCUCUCUUUUUCAUAUGGUUCAGGUAAAACCCUUUUAAGCAUCAGAACAUCUGCAAGUAUGUAGAAAAACCUUAAAAGAGACAAAAAGCACUCAUGCUUGGCCUUGGAAACUUUAAUCUCUCUAAAAAGGAGUUAACAAAAACAAGUUAAAGAAUGUACCACAAGAGGCAGGGUCAAGAAACUCCAGAUUGGCCACAAUGCAAAAGAGAACCUGAAUUUAGAAAAUGCACUCAGAAAAAGAAGGGCAGCCUAAAAGACGAGAAAACAAAUAUACAAUAUAUAAAAGCAAUCAGAAUAGCGAGUAUGGUUCCUCUUACAAGCAGAAAGAAAUGAGCCCAAGCACAGUAAUGAAUGGCAAGGCAGCUAUACUUGAAAUCUCCCACUUCUCACUGGACUUCCGAACACCCCAAGCUAACAUACUUGUAUACAAGAAAAAUAGAACAUUCAAACUGAUUCCCAACAUCCCCAUGUACAAUGGAAUCCUGCAUAUGAAUAUGCCAUCAUGAACAUCAUCAACUACUAAAUCCAUGCCAGUUUAAUGGUACAUGGUGGUACCUAUAUUUGACAAAUAUCUUCAUGUCCACAAAAAAACACAUUAUGCAAUGCAUAGUUUAUGAGAAGUUAAUUAAUGUUAUUCAACAACUAUGCGACGGCACAUUGAAAUUCCUAAGAAAAGCAUUAUAUACUAUCAUUUGAAGCAGUAUCAGCAAUGCUCAAUGCGUCUUGAAGCAUUUAGUCAAAGGACAUCAAUUAGUUUGAGGAAUAACAAUUGUAAAACCGUUGCCAAUGCCAGAAACAGAUUCUACAACUGUUGCAUGUUUGAGUGAAGUAAAAGUAACAUCAUUAGUUACUUUGUUCAGCUAAAUGGUCUAGGAAGCUUUUAUAUCAAAGUUAUAGGUGGAUGCACGUUUGAAGUUGAGAAAUGGAUUUGAAUUCACCAAAGCCAGAACAUUGAAUUGUACAGACACAGCAUGUAAUUUGAAUUCACCAAAGCCAGAACAUUGAAUUGUACAGACACAGCAUGUAAAAUAGGAUUUGAUGUUUUGCUCUACGCCUGCAGUGGAAGCAAAUAGAUAUAUCUAUUUUGUAGUAGAGAUACUGCUCAUGCUUGUGGAAUCCCCAGUGACUGCCAGCGGUCUUCUUUUGUCAUGCUUAUAAAACUGAACAUACUCAAAAAUUUGUAGAACAUACUUGUGCAUUUAGAACACUUAAAAAGAAAAUACUCCAACGAAUUGAUAAACAAGUCUUAUUAACAAGCUUUGAGAGAUUUUUUAUCAAUCUUAUUGGUAUUAAGCUUCUUUUGCAUUAGAAAAGCACUUGGAGCCACGAUUUCCACGAAACUAAUCAAUGUGCAAAAGAAGGUGAAGCACAAAGUUGGCUGCAAACAGACAAAUUUAAGAAUAGCUGCAGGUCGUCUUGGCUUCUGAUAAUUUGCAGUACAACAACAAACUGUAAAUAACUUAUACAAUUCCCUUCGACUAGUCCUUUCAGUUUUUAAUUUGUUUUCAUUUUCCUCGUCAUUUAAUGAGAUCAAGUAAAGCAUCCCCGUUAUUAACUGCAAUACAAAUGAACGACAAAAGAAUCAUGUUUUAGAAGCUUUAAUUCGUAGGUUUACCUUCUAAUGCGAUCGUCAUGCCAAAGGAGGUAUAUAAAAUUCGAAUGUCUGUCACCAUAAUAAAUGAUAAAAACUGCGGAUGCAAUCCAAAGAAAAUUCUCUACAACCUCAACCCAUGUCCGAGUUUUAGGAACUAAGGUAGCUGAAGGAAUUGGUCUUGAGCAUGCGUCAUCCUCGAGAUCAUCACCACUUGAUGCAUAUCCCUGACUAUGCCUCUGCCUCAUGUAUCCACCUCCAACUGGAGUUCCACCAGACAUAUCAACAAAUGGACGAAAAGCCACAACUUUCACUCCUAAAUCGCCACCUAAAACUUCGAUGCUCCCACUAAACUAAUUCUGCUCAAAAUGAAUCAAAGAAUGCUGAUAAAAGAGUCUCAGUAUCUUUACAUUAUCCUGAAAUAAAAUUUCCAACAAAGCAGAGAAUUCCCAAGCCACAACCAAUUGAUCAAUAUCAUCUCAUUCCCAAAACCCACAAGCCUAUCAAUCCAAGUAAGAAUCUCUCAAUCAAUGAAACACAAAAUUCUGACAACACGUAUCGAGAAAAACCAAUCUUUUCACAGAAUCCACCUCAAGAAACAGCAGAAUUUCCAAGGAUCAAAUACAAACCUGCACCUUUCCUCAGAAAAAUCCAUCUCAAGCCCAAAACUCUACAACUUUCCCAUGGUUCAAUCAGUUGAACCACGGAUACGGAUUCAAGAAAUCUGUAUGAACUCAGAAGCCGGACUGUUUGACUUCCCAAAUAACACAAUCAGCAACACACAAUAAUUAAUGCCGCCAAAAAUUGAAGAAAAAAUGGAUAAAAACAAGAAGUAGGUCGGGCAAAAGAAGCCAAGAAAGGGUUUUGGUUGGGCUGUCUUGGACUCUUGUUCCUUGACAGAAAACCAAAUUUAACUUGAGAGGGGAUGUAUGUAUGUUUUGUGCUGUGUGUAAGCGUGCGUUUUAAAGAUGGGCAGGUGCCUGCCCUUCCUAAUAUUGGAGAUUCGUUUCUUUGCUCAAGCCCUGAGGAAUGUGUUCAAUUGGGAUUUACAAUUUUGUAAAGUGUAUUUACCUUUUUUUUUUUUUUUUUUAAGUGUAAGUGAAAGAUUCUCACUUACACUCCUCCAAUUCAUCCCUCCCUUCAAUUAGAGUUAUUUAUUUAUCAACUAGUAAUUUUAAAAAAAAAAAUUUCCCCCUUCUUUUAAUACUUAUCUUUCUUUGGUAUAACUUCUUGAUUUUCCUGCAGGGGAAUCUUCAGAAUUUGUUUAUUUCAAUCUAGAAGGUGUUGGCAUUUUCAACAAUUUUUUUUUUGGCCGCUGUAAGGUGCGGUAAGAUACUAACUCGAAUGUCCAAUUCUUUUUUCUAAUAGUAUGAUUGUUUUGGUCAAACAUAUAUUAAUUUUUCGCAAACUUGUCGAUUAUAAAUUAGAGUCAUAAACCUUUCAAAGGUAGUUAACUAUUUAGGUAAACUUGUUGAUUAAUUAUUAUUUCAGCAUUAUAGGUCACCCGUUUAUUUUUUCCAACAGCUAUUUAGAGUUGACAAAUUUUGCCACUUACGUAUUUCCUAGAUUAGUUAAUUUGAAGAGCGCAAGUGCCACCUCGUCCACCAAAAACUAAACUAGGAAUAUAGAAUCAGAGAGUGAACUAGAAACAUGCAAGAAAAAGGAGUUGAUUGACAUAACUUAUAACUACAUAGUAGGAAAGUGGAUUUUUAAAUUUUUAUGCCCAUGUCUUGCGUGCUUAGCAACUUCCACUCACACCCCAUCACCAAACUUUUGCUCAGUUGCCAGACCAGAUUCCAUCGCUCAAGGAUGGAUAUACUCGUCUCGUACCUUUAUUUAAGAAGCAUUCAUAUCGAGUAAUAUAUGCAUUGAUCCCACGACAGUUGGUUGGGGAAAUAUACAAGGAAUGGGCGACAGGAUGAUUUCUGACUGCCGAAAUACGGAUAAAAAGUAGAGUGUGGAAAAAAAGUUUAGGCGCGGCCAUCAGGCGCAUCGCAUGAGUGAGUUAUCAGCAGUCGAAGUCCUUUUUUUUCAAACUAAAGUGUUAUUAAUCGUGCUUUUGAGGCAUUUCUUCUUGCCCGACGCGGACAACUUUAUAGUAGUACUUCUUUUGACAAAUUUGAAAGUACAGAGAAAUGAAGUAAAUUCGAUAAUGAGUGACUUUUUUUUUUUUUUUCUCAAUCAGAAAAGUUGUUGGUAGCUCUUUUCUUUUAAUAUAAAUAAAAGAAUUUAAAUUCAAAAUUUCUCGCUUAUGCUUCUUCACUCGAGCCGUUCAAUUCAUCUUUUUUUUUCUGAUUAGUAGUUCUAAGCUUGCAAAAGCGUGCAAGCGUGCAUUUUGUUUGACCAGCAUAGGGAUUUUCGUUAAUUCCUUCGGUCGACAUUGAUUAGGAAGUAGUAGUACUAACUAACUACUGAGGUAGGGUCACCUACGCGGAAAAAAAUUUCUUAGCAUUUUGAUACCUACGUGCAUAAUUGCUCUACGACUCAGCAUUUUGACUACGCGCGGUGUGUCUGCAUUUUUUAUAAAUACAUAAAUAUUUUUUCCAAAUUGAUUUUACAUAAAAUUUUCAUUAUUAAAGCAAACUUUUGGUAUUUUAACUUUUUUUUUUUCCUGAUCAAAUGAUAGUUAUAAUGCUGAGAACCAGUUAUGUUGUCAACAGGUGUUUAGAGAAUUAGGGUUAAAAAUAGAUAUGGGUGGUUAUUUUGACAAUAAACGUUUAGAUAGUUAAAUAGCAAUUAAUAAGUUGGAUAAGGAUAAAGUUGAAAGUUUAUGACGUUAAUUAUUUACUUCAAGCCCCCACCUCCCUCUUCACAUAUUGAUAUUGUAUGUAUGGAUAGAUUGUUGGUCCGCAACUAUUAUCGGUCCAUGCAAUUAAGUUCCGAGGCAUUCUUGCUUGUGGGUAGGAGCGUUACUUUGCAAUUAGACAUAAGGAGAAAUAAAUGUCUCGAUUUAUCGCCAUGUUUACACGCCAUCUCUCAAGUAAAGAUGAUGAUAAGUCUUAAAUACUUUAUAGUAGAUCAAUUAUCUCUUGCCAACUUGACUUAAUCAGUCAAUUGAUUUUUGAUGGACCAAUUUUAUUAGCAAUCCACAACAGAGAUUGGCGUUAUUAGCUACGUGCCUUAAAUGGAGUAAUUUUCUUUGAUUGUAACUUGACGCGGUGCAAAGCCACCACGCCACGCCGGUCCUUUCUCUUUAAUGAUCCACCAGAGCACAAUUGAAGAUUUUCCCAAGGACCAAAUGAAAGCGACCUAGCUUGGGCAAGAAGGUUACUCGCCACAGCCCACCAAAUCAAGUACGUUGUUUGCGCAGGUGGAGCCAUCCGCUGCGGCAAGGGGCUUCUAGCCUGAAGGUCCGAAGCAAUUUCAGAGUUUGUUCGAAGUUCCGAACCCUGGCAGAAGUAUAGGGACAGUCGGGUGUUUUCUACGGUUGAAGUUACCAGUAACAAUUGCAGCAUAAAAUGUAUGAACUAACAUUACUUUUGUAGACACUAAAAUAUCAACGCACUCAUAUACAGCAUUAGUAUGUGCAUCAAUCAUCCAUGAUUCCACAUAUUUUUUUACAUGAUAACAAGGAGUUUCAGUGCAUCCCACCACCACCACACAGGCCAACCAAAUCAAACACAGUAGAAUAUAGGACAUCCAGAGAUAAAUGUCCCAAGAACUUCCUGGUUUCUGAUUCACUAUUAGAUAUAUCCAUACGAAGUUUGUGUUCCUCUGUGAAUCCAUCUUCCAUCACUAACCACCACGAGAUGCACCCUUCAGCAUCUUCAGGGUCUAUGUGUGACACCAGACUGAGUAGUUCGCCCUGAUCCAACUCAAAUGACAAGGAUAGGAAGUCUCUGUUUGCUUUAAUACCCACUGUAAGGGCUUCAUCGUGAAGCCAGCUAAUAACUUGGCUGGCAACCUAUAAAAAAAUUAAUUGCUUCCUCGUUAGCUUACAUAGAAAUACAAAGGUGCCGAAAGUCCCCCCCCCCCUCCCCUUCUCCCCCAUCCCCCUCUCUCUCCCAAAAAAAAAAAAAAAACUGAGUACCAUAAUACUUGGCUAAGAUAGUAGUACUAAAGCAGAAAAUUGCAUUUGGUGACAGAGCCAAGUCACAGCAACAGCGAACCACUCUGGCAUUCCUCCUAGAAAAGGAGAGUAGUUCACAUAGUAUAUGUCGCCAAAUGCGGAUUGACUUUUGGGGUCUGAUAUGGAAUGAGGUUAUUUAUAUUGACACCACUCUUUGAAGACUACAAAUCAAGGACACUAACCUGCUGUAGGAGUAUCAAAGGAAGAUCUGCCAAUUCACAAUUAUAUCUAUUCAUAGGAGAAAUUGUCUCAGACUUCCCCUUGAAGAGACCAACAACCUUAGGAGCACCUUCCCCUUCCACAGUAAUGCAGUCAUCAUUGACAAGCACCUUAGUCCAGUACUGAGACUUUAGGCUCUUGAUAUGGGUCAGGGCAGAUACCUGAGCCUGGUUUCCUGCAAGUGAAAUUGGCUGGGGAAUAUUGAUGGAGAGUGUCCAAGAUGAUGUCCGAGAAUGCCAAGUGGGAUGUGACAUUAAAUGGACAUAUGGGAUUCCACGCACCUUUCAAGGCAUAGAAUAGAAAUAGAAUGAGAUAAAGUUGUCUUUUUUGUGGUUGGGGGAGCGGGGGAGAAGCCUGCCUUCCUAAUGUUUGUCUUUCCUUCUAAUUCGAGUAAAUGUAGGAUGAACGCUUACCAGAUUUUCCAGCUCAGUGAGAACUCUGAUUGAGAAGAUCCUGUGAGCUAGAGACAAGCAGAAGUGACCCAGAAGAUUGAAGCUGUCCUUCGCUGGCUGACCAGGUACCUGACUUCUACUUGAAGAUGCAGCUCUACGUUUAGCUUUCACAAACACGUGUUCAUGAAAAAGUUGUUGCAAAUAUAUUUCAAAACUAAUCUGAUUUGCAAAUGCUGACUUCUUAAAGUUGCGUCUCCCUUCUUCAAAUGAUUCCAUAGAUAUAAUUGCAGUUUCUAGAUUGUUAGUGCCUGUAAUGCUGACUGUUUGAUCAUCUUGACCAGAUGGAACAAGUGAAACAGAUACAGACGCUCCUUGACCAAUGCUUAAUCUUAAAUAGUUUUCUUGUAUCCCAGUCACAUUGACACCUAUAGAUGGGUUAAAUACUUCACGAUUAACCAACUCAAAUACCUGGAACCAUAUUGAUUAAGAAAUAGGUGAGUAUAUAGCAUGAAAGCAAAAGUCAAUAAAUAAGGGUAUGUUUCGUAACGUUUAUGUUUCUUGCUUUUGUUUGUUCACACUAUUCUACGAACAAAAAUAAAUAAUAAUGUUCAGUAAAUGUGUUCCUGUUUUUCAAAAAUUAGAUAAGUGUUUAAGAAACAGGAGUUCAUUUCUUGAAAACCUACAUUUCUACUUUUAUUAAAGAACGGACCAAACUGGCAAGACACGGUGCUACAGUAAUCUUUAAAGAGGUUUUCAAUUCGAAUUCCAUUACCCCAACCUGUUUUCUUCUCCUAUAAUCAUGCUUUUCCUUCUCUCUCUGCUCCCUCUUAUCCCUAUCUUCUUCACAUGGCAACCAUCUCCUUGUCAUCUCAUCUAUUCCACCCUCCUUAACCCUCGUCUCUCUCGUUGAAACCACUUGUUCUUAUGACUCGCUAGUCCAUAACCCUGAUCUUCAAGACAACACCUACACCCCAAUCCCUUCCAUAACCAACAUCACUUGCCUGUUCUUCAUCUCUGAAAGCCCCAUUUGCUUCCGACACCUGAUGGCUGACACCUCUACCCUCUCCUCCAAAGCUAAAACCGGAUUCCUACCUCACCUCUUCUAGAAUUUUUUUCCCCCUUAGAGUGGUUAGCUCUCCCUUAACCUACCAUGUGUGACACCUCUUUCAAACCCGAUUUCCUUCUCGCCUUCUAGAAUCUUUUUCCUAGAGUGGUUAGUCUUGCACUUCCACAAUUCAUUGAACUGAUAUUAGAAUAGUUAUGAUAAUUUACCAGCUGUUUGGUUGGGGGGAAUAGGGGGUCCUCAAUGGGAAUGCUCAUUUAUGAUAGUCAUUGUCAGUAUUUGGUACACUGCUAUGGCAAUCAAUCCAUGACAAUGGAAGACCUUAGUGUAUUCCCUAUUCCUGACUAAAUUGGACACUUUUGCUCCACUAUCACCAAAAAAACACUCCAAAGUACUAUCUCUUCUUUUUCUUCUCACUCUCAUCUCUCCUCUCUCACCUCUCAUCAGUUGUCUCUCUUAUUCUUCCUUUUUUUUUUUUGGCAAAAGCUUCAAACCCAGUCUCAUAGGCCACCAGCAGCAGCAUAGGUUAGUGGCCGAACUUGGGAUAGUGAAGUUGCCAUGAACAGAAUUUUGGUGGACAUUUUGGGUUUUCUCUCUAUUUGAAAUCAUCCCCAUUCUUCAUAUUCCUCCCUCUGUUUAUGCCUUUCUCCAUCCAACAUUUUGCCUCCUAUCCACAAGAUCUUGUACUCCACCAGCCCUUUGUCUAAGAAGUAACAAUCAUGAAGAGAAGAAUAGAUGAGUUGAUCGGUGAAUGGUUGUUUGAUCACCAGUGGUUCAAUUGUGUUCAAGAUUUGAAUAACUUUCAAGGCUAAUGAUUAGACAUUUUUUCUUGAAGGUUGGCUUUUCUAAUAUGUGUUGAAUUUUAAAUUGGGAUUGUUAGGUGUGUUGGGUUCUUCAUAGAUUAUUUGUAGAUGGGAUGCUGAGACAUUGAGGAAGAAGGAAAUGUGGUGAAAGAAAAAAGAAAUGAAAUAUUUAGAGAUAAAAAAAAGUGAAAAAAAAGAAGAAAAACCAAAAUAGGUUCUCAUUGAAGAGACAACCCAAACAAGUGAAAAGGAAUACCAAAAACCCAUUGUCAUUGAGGGGGCUUUUGACAGUGGUUAUCAUUAUCAUUCCCCAGUAACAACCAAACAGGUAGGUAGAAUUCGGCAGAGGUAUCAAUUGAACUAUUACUAGCUGGAAUUUGGAUAUAUCUCAGAAAAUAAUUUGGCUUUGAAAUUAUUUAUGUGUAAAAUUUUCGAUAUCAUGGUACUGAUAAUCGUUGUUUGGAGCUGGAUUUGUCAAGUGGAAUAAUGUAAGGGCGAGAUUGGGAAAUUUUGUAGCUUGACGACGAUUUCUUUAUUGGUGGAAUUAUAAUCUUCUUGCCAAUUAGUAGAUAUUUAUGGAAGAAAAGAAGGGAUGAGAGAAACUCUACCACCAAGUAAAACCAAGUAGACUGGAUUGAAUUCUUAUUUCUCCAAAAGAAAAAGGAAGUAUGCUGAAGAAAGUUCUUUGAGAAGUUGAAAAAGUUUAGCCAAAAUGAAUGCUGAAAGUUAUGUUCCAUAGUUGUGAACUUCAAUAGGUUUCUCUUUUUGCUUUAUGACUACCUUCUAUUGUCUCACCUGUUAUAGUCAUUUUGUUAUUUGGAAUCAUAGCAAAAUAAAUUUUGUGAUCUUAUGUGCAACUGGUUUGAUGACUCACAUACAAAUUGGUGCAGUCUAAGUUUAAAAAAAAUGGAGGGGAGGAACAAUAUUCUUCAAUUUGUGCAUAGGAAAAUAUACUUGAAACACAAACAGAGCAUCAUCUUCAAUCAGACAAGUUUAUUUCAACUUGAGCAUAAAACGAUAUGAUUGAAACAAACACAUUCUCCUUUUGACCAAGAACUAAACCCGUGUUUUUUUCUGGUUAAAAUAUAAACUAAGAAACAUAAAUGUUGCCAAAUGGCCCCUAAGUAAACAAAAGGGAUCAUUUAUGCCCAUAUGCAGUUGAGGAGGUACCUGCUCAUUAAAAAUGGCCAGAUGAACUUCACGGAGGAGCGCAUGCGUUUCUCUUACACAUUUAUCAUCAUUAAGAUGUUCUUUCUUAGUUUCUUCAUAACCAUCAGCAAUAAAGGUUUGUACUUUCGUUCUGCUUGAUCUUCUUGCAUUAUAGCUUGAAUGUGCACCAAGAAACUCAAACUGAAGAGUACGGCAAGAGUUUGGAGGCAAAUUCACGGCUAGCAUUCCAGCUGAAUCAUGCUCCACACGAACAGUAGACACUGAGGAUGGACGAAAUGCUGCUGCUGGAUCAUUUAGUGAAUUAUCAAAUAAAUCAAUGUAGAACCCCUCAUUUCCAGAGGCAGCAGCAACUGCACGAUGUCUUUUAACUUUCCAAUUUUGCUGCAAUCUAUCAGCUUGUCAGAGUAGGAAUAGGAGGAAACUAAAGGACGAGAAUCCAGAGACCAAAUUGUCCAUAAAUUCUUUCCUACGACGUGCACGGACUUACCUAAUCAGCGCACCAUAGAAUCUUGCUUCUCUAGCUACCUGCUGCUCCAGUGCUUUGGCAGAUUGCUUAAAAUAUCUGCCAAGAUGCUGCGAAUAAAGAAAGAGUCAUAUUAUACAAAAGACUUAUCAUCGCAGGUACUCACAAUUAAGUUGGUCGCUAAUGGUCAACAGAAUGUUACAUGAGCUGAAGCACUAAUUUAGAAACACUGGUGAUCUAGUAAUAUGGUGAGCAGGUUAAGGAAAAAAAGUUGGAAUAGUGAUAAACAAUAUACCCGGAAGCACUGUAGCUUGGUAGCUGUAGAUACAGCAAGGUCAGACAGAAGCUCAUUAGGCAACUGCUUCGGCCUGGUCAUGCUAGCCACUGUUACAUCAUUGUUUGCCUCCAGCUGUCCGUAGAACAUGCAAAAAAGGUUACACACUACUCCAACGGUUACAUGGUGAAAGGUUUCAAAUGGUAGCCAAAAGUUUGUAAGGAAAGUGGUAAUACAAGUCAAAUCAAACCAUCCUCAUCACUUUGUUCACUCAUUUUUAGACUAUAUCAACUCUUAUCCUUCAACAAUCCAUAACUGAAAGAGUUUAAAUGCAGUAGAAACUCUAGGCAAAUACAUAACCAAACAAAAGCAUCUAUCAGCAUCUUCAUAACUGUGCUUUAUGAAAGAGUAUAUUUUCUCUGGCUCAAAUAAAUACAGAUCGUAGAUAAUGACAUUGACCAACUCGUUAUAGCUUUAUCAAUCUUGAUGACUGCAUACAAACACGAGGUAAUAACACCCAUUCUCCCCAUUCCCCAGAGUACCUAUACCAACAGUUAUUACUGGCCGAAGCAACCUCCCUUGUUUAACUUUUAGGAGUCAAUUAAAAUCUUGCUUCUUGAUUCAGCCCGACUCAUGCAACUAAACUAAACAGAACGAUCCCUUGCCCACUUUUAGCAGUCAAAUGACACGUGUGCGUUUUAGUAAUUCACCUCAACUCUCAAUCCAUAAUUGGAAAGCGAAAUGCAAAAUUUGCAGUUAAAAAUUGACGGAAAAAUAGUUGGGAAUGGAAAGAGUAAUUAUUUACGGUGUUGAUGAGAUCGAUAAUGACGGAGAGCUCUUGAUGAGCUAAUUGUAGAUUCUCCAGUAAACUCUGCCACUGCCAUGGCUGAUUACCGGAGUUGUGAGUUUCCUUACUAGUACUACUAGUAGUAGUCUUCUUCUGCUUCUUGCUGGAAGGCUCCUCUCUCUCCACCGCCCACGCGAAGUCUAUUCUCCUUAUCAAGUCUACUCGUUUCUCCUCGUGCCCUACGUCUCUGCAAUUCACAUACGUGCAUCAUUUAUACAUACAUACUUUUCUGUAUAUAAAGGUUCGAGCUGUAGAGACAGAGUAAGAGAGGGAGAGUACGAAGGGAAUCGCUCGACGCCAUUUUCUUCGAUGACUUCUAAGCGUUUGAUGGGGAGCUUGUCGAUGGAAAUGUCUAGGUUUCCGUCCAUGUUCACAAUGGCUUCUUCUGGAGCCCCGGCGUGGGGAAGAAGGUGAUCCGUGGGAGUUAUAUCCUUGGGCUUUAGUAGGCUGACGGCCCUGAUGAUACCUGGGCUGUAAUCAAAGGCCAAAAUUUGGGUAGACCCGAUAUUUUAAGGCCCAAUGGUCCAGAUUGUACCGCACUACCUGAUGAGUAUUCUGGCACAAUCUGGAUUGUUAUCAAAUAGCGUGGCAUAAUUUGGGUCAUUGAAUCCUUGAAAAUCGAAUCUGCUCAAGUGUGAGUUGUAAUUAAAUUCUUCGUAUCUUUUCUUUUAAAUAAGAAAUGGAAAAUUUAAAAUUGUCCUAAAAAUAAGAAAUAGAUCCCAAAAAAGAAGGUGGCAUUGUAGUAUGGUAUUUUCUAUUUCUUAUGUAUCUAUUUUUUUAUUUUCCUUUAUUUUUUUUUUGUAUUUGGAGCAAAUUAAGAUUUAUUACUAUUUAGUAGGACUAAUCACAGUUCUUUUUUACAAUUAUCUCUUCUCUUCCCAAAGAAAAAAGAAAACGAAAAAAAAAAUAGAAGUGAAAGGGUGAGUUUAUUAAUUUAUUAGUUUUUGUUUAACGUUUUGAUAUUGAACAUUAAUUUUGACAAAUAAAAAAAAAAAACUAACGGUGGCACUUUAGUCCGAAUCAUGAAAAGUUAUGUAUAGAUUAUUAAAUUAUAGGGGGUUAUAUACUAAAGAACCAAACCACCUGAGGAUAAGUAGUAAUUUACUCUAUAUUUGAAUCAUGCAACAUUUAUAUUCAUCUGUAAUCAUCCUCAAUUCACUGAAUAAUAAAUAAAAGAGGAAAAAAAAUCCAUAAUACUAUGUUCAAGCAUAUUAUCAAAAUUAUUAAUGUAAUAUAUACAGAAUAGUAAUAGUAACACUAAUGCAGCAGGUGCUAUAAUUUAAAGUUCUCUGUUACAUGAUCGAUGGAUGAAAUGAAAUAAUUCAGUCAUGAGUAAUUCGUUCAUUUAGCUUUGGCAACAUCAAAAUUCUCAGCUCUAAACUAAGUUUCUAGUAAAUAUCUCAGCUUUAUAAACACAUAAUGGAUUUAGGAUUUAUUAUUGUUUCAUAUUAUAUGGACGUAAAUUCUUUUUUUUUUUCCUUCUGUAUACUUUCACGCUCCUGCUAAGGUGUUACCGCACCGGUCAAAACUGUAAAAAUUAUAUUAAUUAACAAAGAUUUAAGAGUUAUUCAGACAAGCUCUCAUUAAAUAAAAACAAUAAACAAAAUUUCAAAAAAAAAUAAAAACUAUUAAAAAGUCAGAAUCAAAGAGACUCAAGAUUGAUGUGCGUCCGCCUUUUGACACUGUGGGUUUCUGCAACAUAAGCGCGUGGUUACCUAAUAGAAACCAACUCUAUAUCAACGGCCACUGCCACCUUGGAAACAAUUAACUGAAAGAGAGUCGGUGGAGUGUCUCGCACAAUAUGGAACAGCUUUUAUUUAUCUAUUUAUUUACACAUUUUUUGACUGCACUGCUUCUUCUACUUCAAUCCUUUAAUUAAAGACAAAAUUAAAGAAUAUGAGUUUAACCUCCCCAAACUGUAUAAUUUACCAUUUACACACCCCAACGACUUUGCCAAAAUUAUUAGUGGUCAACAUUAAGGGUGUAAACUAUCUCAAACAAGUCGAGCACAUUAGUGUUCAAAUGAACUAAACUUGAACGAGCUUUUAUAGAAUCGAACCUAAGUUGACUUCGAGUAGAUUGAAUUUUUUACAUGUAAAUCUCACUUAUAUGCUAAUCUUUUUUUUUUAUGUGUAUGUAAGAGGUUUCAAAUCCAGAACCUCUUACUUUUAUUCCCGUGUCUCUCGUAUCACUUAACUUAUGUGCCAAUUGAGUCAAACUUGAGUUGAAUUUAAAAUUUUUUUCAAAUAAAAAUUAAUGUUAAAUUUUAAGUUGAUUAACUGACAAAUUAAAUUUGAAUGAAUUCUUACUAAGUCGUGAUCGAUUCAAGAAUCAAUUAAUUUAACUCCAUCUGUCUUUCAGUCCUAGUCAACGUAAGAAGAGAUCCGAAACCCGUGCAAUAUGUCUGAGGAAAUAGCCAAAACUUAAUUUUGGUAAGGGGUCCAUAAUCAAUUCAGCAGGGCCGUUCCAUAAUGGAUACAAGUACAACCGGGCCACCUGAUCCUUUGUGGCCAGAAGCGAAGACAAAAUGAAGCGGAGGUGGCCAGCCUAAAAUUAAUGACGGCAUUAUGGCCCAGCCCAUAAUUCCACAAAUGACUGACUGGUUCAGCGUCAUAGACGACUAGCAAUGUCGACAUGGGAAACGAUUUAACAUUUUCAACAAUCCUAGGGGCGAUCAUGGACAAACUGUCUGUAGAUUUUUUGCUGAUCGUUUGUACGUCCUGGACAAGAGCCCUUUUCCCUAAUUUGAACUUGUUUUAUAUCCUGAAAUUUUAAAAAAGUAUUGUCCCAAAAAUCCAAUUUAAGUAAUAGAAACAUAAGUUGGGUAACAAUAUGAUUUUUCUGGUUCAAACUUUGAACCUCCUUCCCCUCUCUAUCAUUCACUUUUAUAAGGUUUAAAAUCUCCCGUUAAAUCAAGAAACAAAUUAGAUGACUCAGUUUGGUCUAGAUUAUUGAUAUGCUUCAAUACUACAAGCCCAGUAUUAUCUCCCAUGCUUACUAAGGGUACGUUUGAUAAAAUUGAAAUCUGAAAACUGAAAUCUAAAAUCUAAAAUUUGAAUCCAUUAAGUUAUUGAAUUGUUAAGUAUUAAAUAUAAUACAUCUGAGUGCGUGUCACAUUCAGUGAUGAGUGAAUAGUUUAUCACUUAAUUUUGAGAGCAAGUUUUGCCUAAAAAAUUCGGUGCCACUUAAUUAAUUCAGAUGUUCAAUUUUUCGUUAUCAAACGAUCUGAAUAUAUUAAGAUCUAAAUCUAUUAAAUUUAAGUGUUGAACUGCAUUAUCAAACAAGGGCCUAAGUCAACAAUUUUGUGAAAACAUUUAGAAGGAGAAGCAACAUAAUUUGACCUUUCAGUUUCAGUGCAAGUAAUCUUUUCCCUAUAGAAUUUUGAGUAAUAGAGUAAUAUUGCGUUAUGAUAAGGAAUUAAACUAAAAUAGACUAUGCAAGCUAGGAAAAUGGGAAAGAUCAUGCAUAUACAUACAACAGGCGAGAGAUUCCAGCCUAGCACCUUUAUUGGGUCACUUUGUUAAUCAGCCUUAAGUGCUGAGAGGAAUCUGCGGAUGGGGAAGAAUUAAUAGUUAGUUUUAUCCGUGACUUGCGUUUUGCUGAUUAAGUUUUACACAUGAAUCAUAAUAUUUGUAAAUUUAGUCCUCUCUCUAAGUUCCAUAUUCUUCAAUUUCUGUAGCAUAGUUUUAGACAGCUUGAAUCGUAGUUUAGGUGCGUUUUGAAAAGUACAAAGGAGAAGGAAUUAAAAAAAAGAAAAAAGAAAAAGGGGAAAAACAAAGUUACACCCGCUAUUCCGUGUAAUCUGUAAUAGAAGUAGGGGUGGCAAUGGCCGGUCACUCGGCCUGCAGGGGACUAUUAGAGUGGGGAUUGGGACGGGGCGGGGGUAGAGGGGAAUUUUUUCCUUCCGUUUAGAAACGGGGUGGGGGACGGGGAUAUAUUCCUUCGCUCCGCCACCCGUUUGAAACAAAAUAUAUAUAUGUAUGUAUGUAUGUACAUAUAUCUAAUGAUAUUAUUAAUUAUAUUACUAAUUAUACAUAUUUAUUAAUAAAAAUUAUUAAUUAUUUAUACUAAAUUUAUUAAUACAUUUAUAUUAAAUUCCUAACUACACUUAAUAUAAUAACAUUUUUUUCUGAAAAAAAACACAAUAAUAAUUUAGUGAUUGUAUUUGUAUCAAAAGUGAAAAUUUGAUUAUUUUAGUUAUACUUUUGUCUCAUAUUGGAUUGUUUUUAAAAAACUUUUAUUUAAUUAUUUUUAUGAGUUUUAAUUAUGAAGUUACAAUGAAUAAUAAUUUGGUGAUGUAUUGAUAUUUUAGUACUUGAUUAUUUGUUCAAAUUUAAUUAUAAUAAAUUAUAUAAUAAUUUUAUUGAGCGAGGCAGGAGACGGGGGUAAUUAAUAGGGAAUGGGGCGGGGGACGGGGGGAUCCUUCGCGGUCUCACCCCCGCCCCAUUGACACCCCUAAAUAAAAGGGAUUAAAACCGUAAGAAGACGAACGCUAUAAACAAAAGGUCUGGACACUUUUAGUUUGUAAAUGGAUUUCAAUCAACAUUAUUCGAUGAGUUAAUUAUUUAUUCUAGUACUGAUGAUUUUAAGCUGGUGCUGAAUACGGGUAUUCAUCCAUGGUUUCAUCGUUAGGUAAUGACAAAUCCUUGCGCCUAUUAGGUGUUUGAUAAAAUGCACAGCAGGAUAGCUUCAAUAAACUAAGUUCGACAGGUGGAGUUACUGGUCAUUCAGUUGACAAAGUUAUAAUUAAUCAUUGAGCAAUUUAUAGAAAAUCCUAAAAAUUAUCGGCUGUGAUGCUCAUAUUAUCCAAUCUCGUUAACUUUCUCAAAGAGCAUCAUCAUUUCCAUCCAACCCUAUCAGUGUCCAUUAAUUAAGUGCCAUAGUUUAUCUAGUGUAGAGUGCAGACGAGACCAUUAUUAUUUCACGUUAAGUCCUUUCGCCAUUCUUUCAAGUGAAUCAACAAGUCUUGUAAAGAAGAAUUCUUUUUCACAUGCUCUAUGCCACUCACAACUCAGAGCAAGAAUAGACCUACCUCAUUUCAUUUAACAAAGCACAUACUAGUACAAUAUUCAAGGGAAUUUGGAGAUUGCGCUCCUGCCAUUUACUGCGCGUCAUGUGCCAUGUGAUGCCCAGCAUAUAGCCGAGGCGGGUGAAAUUUAGAGGAAGCUCAAUUGCAACCGAAUCAAAGGGGGAAUUCCUCCAUCCAGGUUCACUGCACACACCUAUGUCGGUUAUUCCCCUAGAGUACAAUGUUGCUGCUUCUCAAGUGUGAUAUAAGAAUUGUGUCUAAUAGCAACCAGUUGAUAUAUUCAAAUAAUUUGCAUCCAACGGAGCAUCAGAAUAUAAGUUGAUAUCUGGAAUGAGAAUUAUUGAAGAAUGACAGGGGCCGGGAGGAAAAGGACCAUGCACCUAAGCCUGCCUUGUUUCCCGGUGAAUAUAAUAUAUUAUGAGAGCGAUAGUGGUAUUAAUUUAUUGUCUAAAAUGAACUUGGGCUAAUACGGUUAACGAGUGAGCAGGGCUUCGUUUUCUGUCAUUUUCAUUUAGUUGUCUUGUUCCCUCCAUCACAUUUUUUUUUUCCCAUAAAAAUUUAUCCAAGUGUCCAUCUAAUUAUAUAUCUGUAGUUUCAGGGGCGGAUUUACAGUGGGGGCACAGGCCUCCAUUGCCUCCCUUAAAUUUCCAUAAGACCCGUACAAAAUUGAUAUAGCUUUAAGUAUGCCUCCUGAAGUUUUGUAUAUCCAUUGAUUUAUAUGCUCCUAAAGUUACCUUUGAUUUUAUCUGUUGUUACAGCUACCAUAAAAAAUGUUUUUUCAGUUAUGAAUAUAGUGAAGAAUCGGUUACAAAAUAGGAUGGAAGACACCUGAAUGAAUAAUUAUUUAGUUACUUAUAUUGAGAAAAAUAUACUUAGUGAAAAUGAAAAGGUUGCAAACCGUUAUCAAUAUAUGAAAGCUCGUCAUGAGCAAUUGUAAAUGGUUUAGUUUGCUUUUUGAAAUAAAAUUAUUAUUACAUUAAUAAUUUUGAGUUUGUCUUUUUUACAUUUUUCAUGGACUAUAUGUAUCAUUUAUACUUAUUUGUACUUGUUGGUGAAUAAUUAAUGCUGGUUGAAGCCGAUCAGCGGUAGUUCUGUUCAAGAGGACGAUCACAGUUCACAAGAAUAUUGAAGUAGGACCACGAGAAUUGAGGAGCCGCUCAAAAUUAAUGAGGUUGGGUGGGGUUCCAUUGUGUGUUGGGAUGCAUGGGAACAAGCCCGAUGGAGACAAAUAUGCCCUCAUCAUCAACGCACUAAUUGCAAGAGCAAGAAACCGAUAUCAUGACUCAUAAAAAGUUGUUAUUAGAGAAGGGAAAAGAAAAUAAAAUCCUUCCCUAGUCAAUUCCUCCAUUUUAAUAUCCAUCCUAACAGGCAAUCACACAUGGUUUGCCUCUACUUUCAAUCAUCUUUAGUCAUUACCCACUUUCUAAUCAAACAUUAUUUUAGUGCCGUAUGGAUUAAUUAACAAGUCCUGGCUGCCAAAUUCCUCGUGGCAUGAUUCCCAAGAGCUAGCCCAUUCUUCAUUUACCCUCUUCUCCAUCCGUCAAACUCCAACGGUCCCGAACUAGCUCUUUAAGUUGAGGUUUGCCAAUAACCAAUGGCAAGUACUCAUCACACUCGGGAGAAGCAGAAGAAAGGAGGGGUGAUGUAUGUCUACAAGUUAGACAGCGGAAAUCUGAAGAAGCCCUCGGACUCAUCUUCGGCGAAGGAGGGGAUUAUUCAUUCAGGCAUCAGCUGGGGAUUAAGGAGGUCUAAAACCGUUCGGGAAGUGGUUGAUCAUGGCAGAGUUAAGACUAGCGUGGAAGAUGAAACCAAGGAAGUAGUGGCGGAAUCAAGAAAAUCAGUUUCCAGCGAGGCGGUUGCGGGGGGUAGGAAGUCGGUGUCACAUUUAGAAGUGAACGUGGCAUCGGUGGCUUCAUUCCUUCAGGUGAAGGUUUUGGUUACGGACAUGCCAGGGUUCAUGCAGGUUCAUGCCUUCCGGUGCGCCAGGGGAACCUACGAUAGUCUCGAGAAAUUUAGCGCCAAGCACAUGGCCUAUAACAUCAAGAAGGUAUGGCCCAACUAAUUUCUUUGUGUGUAUAUAUAGAUAUAUAUAUGUAUGUGCUUCUGUUCUUGAUGAAUUUUGACUGAUAUCAAUAGAAACAGCUUGAUUAAUAUUGCAACCCCAUUAAAAUGUUUCAAGAAAAUACUACCGUUGCAGCGUUUUCUGCUCGAUUGUUUUCACUGAGUUUACCACCACCUUUGUUAAUUGAUUAUGAUUCUGCAUGUACUCUGGUUUUCUGCUGAAGUACAUUAUAUAUAUAUAGUACAAUGACGGACAAAAAGAAGAAGUGGCCGGACAUGUACUCUGAUUCAAUCAUUCGGCAUGCAUGUCUGAGCUUGAACUUUUGCCGCAUUGGACGCCAAAGACAACAGAGGUAGUAGAAGACAAUAGCAACAAGAUGCCCCAAUAACUUUUGUUUGAACAAAAAGAAUAAUAUAAUUAUGUGGUUUUCUUUGUUUCACCCUACGAGAGAUCUCGUACAGCACCGUCAAGAAACAUUUGAGCCCUGUCUCAAUUGUCUCGAUACCCAUGCCUUCCUUUGUCUGAAAUGGCCCGGUUGUGAAGCACAUGUGCGUGUCGGGCCUUUGAAAUCUGACAAAUGGAUCUCAUGUUGCAUUUUGCUGCAACCUUUGAAUUAAUUGCUGCAACCUUUGAUUGUGGCUGUGGGUGAAAAAUGUUUGGUAUGGAUCUCUGAACAAGUUACAAUAAUUGAAUAAUUCUCUUUUUAUCUUUUCGGGUCAAAUAAUAGGUUGUCUAUUCUCUUCUCAUCGGUAGAAAGAAUGCAUAGAAAUGGGCUACCAUAAUACAAGCAUUGUGGAUCAUCUAAGCUUGAUAACGUGCAGGAAUUUGACAAGGUUUAUGGGCCGGCCUGGCAUUGUAUAGUGGGCUCCAGUUUUGGAUCAUUUGUCACGCACGCAACGGGUUGUUUCCUCUAUUUCUCGAUGGAAAAGCUGUAUAUUUUAGUGUUCAAGACGAAAGUUGAAAGAGCCCUGGAACAGUCCUAAAUUGAAAGGACGGAUGUAGAUUUUAAAUCCUCAUCGACGCCAUUAUUGUUAUCGUAAUUUUUUUUGGGUCUUCAGUCGUAAUUUUUCUUUUGGGGACAGUUGACUGGUACUUAUUGUUUAACGGAGAAAUGUAUUUUGUCUGAAAACUUGUAAAUAGAGAGGGGGAGACGGGAGUUACUUGAAGCGCAUUGAUUGAUCAUCAUGUAUUGGUAUUAGCAGCAGCUCAGGCGUGUGUAAAUUGCAUUCGCCUAAAAGUCUAUUCAACAAGAAUCAAGCGGUGUCAGACUAGAAUUCAAGAAGUUGACUGUCUCUUUCAGGGUAGAAAUUUUCCAAUUUCUCGUGUUUGAGUUGCUCUGCCAUAUGGAAUCCCAAUUAAUCACAACUGCUAAAAGUCUUUCUUUCCUUUUUUUUUUUUUUUUUUUUUUACUUCCUUUGGUUUGUAAUACGUAACCAAGGAUCUUUAAGCACUUGUCUAUACAUGACUAGACUCGUGUAGAGCCUUGGAAUUCUGUCCUGAGAAAAGACCAAUUCGGCAUUGCUACUUUCUCACCGAAUUUUUCCCUUUUAAAAAUCAUCAUAUGAACGUGCUUUUAAAUUUUUGUGAAUUACCUUAAAAAGGUAAAUGUACAUGCUUGAUGUUUCUGCGAACAUGAUUGAGACUAGCUACGAGAGGUUUCCUUUGGAAGAUAUGAUUCGAGUAUAAAAGCAAGAAACACAUGGUAAGUGUAAGCUUCAUGGGUAAAAAAUUAUGUCUCACAUUGAUUCGAGAAAUGAAAAAAGAGAGCGGUUAAUAUAUAAGUAAGGGUCCAAGACCUAAUAACUUGAGUUUUUGGAUCAGAAUUGAGUUCCUGACUUACAUAUUGGGCUCUUUAGUGAACUCUCUCGAGGCGUUUCUCCCUAUCAAAUUGGUAUCAGAAUUUCAGGUUGCGAGACUGAACUACUCAUGGGCAAGUAGAUUCUUCUAGAAGUUGAACCAAUGAAAAUUCUCUUCUUGAUAGUGGACCGAAGUACCAAAGUGCUAAGAAAUUUGGUUAGUGUAGGAGCAGGUGUGCCAUGGGUCUAACAGGGAUCUAGAAUGCAGUUUGAAUGUUGAAUAAGAGUGGGUCCAUAUUAAGGAGAAGAGGUGACUUUAGAUGAUAAAGUGAACUUGUGUUGUGUAUUAAAGUGGGCUCGAAGAAGAACUUGUAAAUGAGAUGGAGAAUGCAGUUUGAAUAUUGAAGAAGAGUGGGGUCCAUAUUUGGAAAAAGAAGUGACCUUAGAUGAUUAGGUAGGCUUGUGUUGAGUAUUAAAAUGAGUUCGGAAAAGAGCUCAUAAAUGAGAUGGACAAAGAGCGGUUAAUAUGUAAGUAAGGGUUCAAGGCCUAAUAGUUUAAAUUUUUUAAUCAGAGUUUGGUUUCUGACUUACAUAUUGAAUUUUUUGAUGGACUCUCUCGAGAUGUUUCUUCUCAUUAGUAAGUAGCAGGGAUUUCAAGGUAAAUAAUGGAACAUCUAAAUGGUACUACUAAUAGAGUUCCAUGUCAAUAUCUGCCCGUUCUAGGGCUAUCGAGUACGAUGCAUGCCUUCCAUGCCUCUUGGCCACUCUAAUCGAUCAACUAGCCUUAAAAUCCAUUUCAGCCAAUCCGGCCUACUCAGUAAUCUGUUCAGUUCUCAGAGAAGAUAUAUAAUGAGAAUCGCUUUUUAUUAUUCUUCAGAAGAGUUAUGGAACUCCAUCCGUCUAAUUCAGUGCCCUGUGUUAAAAAAGCCCACCUAAAAGAACCAAAGCCAAUUUAUUAAAAAGUUGCCAGUAUUGGGUACGCGGACAAUAGCAUGAAACAGAGAAAGGCGGUUGAAUUGGAGUAACCAUGAAUUUGGUAGCUAUGGAUCACAUGAGAUGAAAACGACUAAUUUUUUGCUUUCCUGAGCUAAAACUAAGCGAUCCGGAAAUAUGACGGGCAUGAUGCAGCUAAUGCUUCUUGGUUGUGCUAGGCAAUCAAACUCAAUUCGAAAUUGUUCCAAAUGGAUGGAGACAAAAAUAUUUCGGCGUCACCCCUGCCAAUGUCAAGGCAACUUGUCUAAUUUGUCUGCGUGUAGUGGUUAUCGUGGUGACCAAAAUACUCACAAGAUUUAAUGGAGCAAGUCCAACGUCAAUUGGAUGUUGCUAUGAUGUAGUAAUUGCUGAUUAGUUGAUUAUUGUCGUCGUCAUCAUGGGCUAAUGGUGUGGGUGAGCUUAGAAAUAUUCAUUCACGUAUGAAUUUGAUUUGUGGAAUGUGUUUAAUUAAUGUACUCUGCUACAACUUGUAACUGCUGCAAAUUGAACUGGUCGUCCAUGGAUGACCAAAUUUAAUGCCAAGUCAAAUACCAUUUGGCAGCGCCCGUCUUUGUUGAAACACGCCAACUCCAACCAGUAAUUGGACUCCAACAAUCCUAGCCCAGGUCCCUCCCGGGUCCCAAACCAAAUGAACAUGAGAGAGAGAGAGAGAGAGGUUUCAACUUCAAGUGCAGAUUUGAAUCUGAUCUCCUUUGUACAUGAUCAAGAACAAUUCCAUCCAAAGCCCGGAAUUGGGAAAAACCAAAAAAUCAUGAAUAUACACAAGAAUUACAACAACAAAAGCGUAAAAUAACCCGCCGGCCUACAUGCUAGAGGGAGUCCUAUUUUAUGAGCUUAAUCAAGAACAAGCUAAAAAAAAUCAAAGCCAUGCCUUUGUAUAUUAGCUCCAUACACAUUCGAGACAGUUGUAUGAAUUCUCCAGAAGAACUUUUGCCACAAACAUGUGGAAACAAUACAAGUAGCGACACAUAAACCAUGGUCAACCUGAUCGUUCUCGACUAUAUUUCCUCCAAGCAUCAUUAUAUAUAUAUAUAAACUUCUAUGGCAAAUUCCGAAAAAGAACAGAAGCAAGAAAGGAAGAAAGAAAGGGAAGGAAUCGUCGGCAUGCAGAAAAUAGCAAUAGCACU
rnacentral:lncRNA from 1 species